AUUACUUCAAACACUAAUUUUGAAUUUCUAACAUUCACUCAUUUCCUUGUUUUCAUCAACCCGUAAAAUGAAGCAGCAAGUAGUUUUUGUCUUAGGCCUGCAAACUCUGAAUUGGAUAAUACAAUAAUAAUAAUAAAAUACAAGUUUUAAAAUUAAAUAUUUGCACACACGAUCACAAUUUAUUUCCCUUCAUAACCCCAAUUUUUGCAUGGCCCUCUUAUAGCAUAUACAUAUAGCUAUUAUGGUACAAAGGGGGGCAUAUACAUCAAAGUAUAUAUGACAUGAAACAUAUUGGUAUAUCAAAUAUUCUGGACAGUUCUGUUGGAUAUGGAAUAAUGGGAACUCUUGAUAGUACUUCAUAUACCUGCCAUGCAUUCCGGUGGGGUGACCGGGUACCGAGACUUGUCGGUGCAGUAAUCGUAGAUCAUGUGGUUCAUCCGAACCCAUCUGUAUCUCCUAGCUUCCAUGGCAUUAAGAGCUUGAUAAGCAGUACCUUCCCACCAGUUCCUAGGGUUACUAGCACAAUUUGCUGGCCCUGGAACUGGACACCCUUCAAUGUCAAAAUCCUUGUAAUAAGCCAAAAAUGGUGCUUUGCUCCAAUCAAUUUUCUCAAGUCCUCCCCUUGUUGCCCAAUCAUCAGCUUCCCAUAGUGUUGAAUAUACCCCCAUAGGUUGAAAUUUUGGGUAUGGGAUGUUUUUUGCUUCAUUGUUCUUGUAUACUCUUAUUGGCACUUCAUCUACAUAAAACCUGUUAAGAAAAAGCACCCAAAUGGUCAAAUUUUAAUGUCAUAUAUGCUUAUUAAUGUCACAUUUAUAGUUAGAUACUGGACUUACACAAUAUGAUGAUGGUUCCACAUAAUUGCGUAUGUAUGGAAAUCAGCAGCUGGAUCAAACCAGAGGUUAACCCUUUGUUCUCUAUCACCUUUACCAUGAGCAUAUAUGUUGGUUUGGACCGUGUAUGGUUGCCCGGUUCGGUUUCCCAAGAACUCGAAAUCUAGCUCGUCUCUUACGGUGUCCGUAUCAGAAUUCAUCUGCAAUACCAGAUUACAAUGAAAAACAGAUUAAAGGUUAAAGGUUAUGUCGGUAGGUAGCUUUACGUACGUAAAAGGCGGUGACGGUUCCGGCCGAGUCACCGGGGAUAAGCUUGAUCUUCAUGCUGACACGUCCAAACAAAUACCGUCUUUUGGAAGCAAAUCCACAGCCUAUAAAACAAAAUGAAUUAACAACACAUUAUCGAAGGGUUAACACAUUUAAUCAUUGAUUAUUAUUUUUAAAAAGUUAAACCUGAAUUUUGGUCUAGAAUAAGUUGAAUGGCCCUCCCCCCAUCGAUUUGCUUGAUAUGGGAAUCGGACCAAGUGAUUCUAAAAUCUUCGAGGAAAGUGGCGGGUCGUCCCGAAACCGAGAUCGAACAUGCAAGGAAACAAGAGAAGAUGAAAAGAAAAGCACUGCUUAGAGUUGCCAUUGUCAUCAAUGUUUUGAACUUAGAAGAUUAAAUUGUGGUGAAUAUGUGUAUAUGUGUAUGUAUAUAUAUAUAUAUAGGUGGGAGAGAUUAAGGUUGAUGUAGACCGCUGCAUUGAAAUAGAAAGUGCCAUUCUUAAGUUUAGCUUUCGAUACAGCUAAUGGCAAGCCGUCUUUAGGCCCUACAUACCCCCCAACUGUGCUCUAAUUUUGCCCUUUGGGAACCUAAUCUUAAUGCUUCCACUUCAUAACUUUCUCUUUGUUUUUGUUUUCAUUCUCCAACCUAACAAGAAAAAGGGAUCACAGAUAUUGAAAUUUUACAAUUGAAUUGAUCGUAUAUACAUUGUUUGUCAUGUUCCGUCAUCACAUGAAAAUUUGAUUAAUUUUAUAUAUGGGUGGAUAAUUUUCUAUCUCAUGAAAUUGAUAUGGUAUGAAGGUGGUGUAGAAAAGGAUUGAAGACCAAUGAGGUGUGCCUAAAAAUUUGGGUCAAAUAGGGUUUGGACUUAAGUUCACAAAGGCAGUCUCAUUCAAUAUUGCUUAUCUAAUAUAUCUGUGAACAGCCUAGAUUGAUAUUGAACGGCCGGUUGGCCGGAUCCACCGAGUUACAUGCCCCACCAUUAAGUUUUUUGGGGUCUAAUUGGUCAAAUUCCAUAGGCCUGGAAACCAAUCAGUAUAUCAAUUUAGAUAAAAGGGUUAGAUCGAUUUUAGAGCGAAGCACUUAAAACUAAAUUUAAACCGUAAACCGGUUGAACUGUUUUUUAAUGUUUUUAGUCCAAAUUAAUGGUCCAAAUCGAAAAAAAAAUCUCAACUGGCAAAAUCCAAAUACGUAAAUAUAUCAACCCAACCCACCCGAAUACUUAAAAAAAUUAUUAUUAUUAAGAAAAAAAAAGAGAGGAGAAAAACCAAUAUAAAUCGAAGUGUCAUUAUUGUUAUUUAUUUGUGUUUAUACAAUUUUGUUUUUAAUUUUGUCAAAUUUUUACUUAUUUUCCAAAUUUUCUUUAAUUUUGGACCAAUCGAACUAAAAUUUGGUGAUCUGAUUAGUUCGAUCACCAAUCCAAUUCCGAAAACAUUGGGGGUAGGGGUUGCCUUAUUUUCAUAUUGAUAUAGUAGACAUCGAUAAAAAUAAGAAAAAUAAGAACACAUGAAUUUCUUCAAUAAGUGACGGGAUUCGGGUCACACAAUCUCUAACACAUAUUAACAUGGCUAGCUCUCCUAGAAAAACUUUUAAAUGUUAAUCGAAAACUUUCCCAACUCGAAUAAAAAAAUCUUAAAUCCAAAAUGACUCAAAUCCUAAUUAUUACCUAAACUUAAUUCAAAAAUUCACUAACAAACCCGAAUAACUUCAUCUUACAAAUAAUCCAAACCCAAAUUAAUAUCAAACCUAAAACCACUCAAAAGUCAUGUUGAAAAUUGGAUCAAAUUCCAUUCCCAUCUUUUUCUACCACUUGACAAUUGUUGUGACAAGGAAUAAUUUCAAACAAAAGUAUUAUCCUAUUUUACAUCAAUUGAAGUUAAAACACAGAUAGUGAAAGACUGAGAUAUCUGAAAAUUAUACGACAGAAAGGGAUCAUUUCUUUCACCAGUUGCAUAACUGACGUACAAAGAUCCUCGGGAUUAAAGUUCAACCAAUGUUGGCUGCCAAACCUCAAUUAUUUUAAAACUUUGACCUCAAAGUCAAUAUAAAAAAAUAAUUCUAAAAAUAUGUAGUCCUUAAAUGAUUAAAUAUGCAAAUUUCCUUGUCCAAAUAAAAUUUUUAAUUUCUCCUCACAAAUUAUGAUUAAUUUAUAAUAAAAAAUAAAAAUUGUGGAUCAUGAUUUCCUCUCUCAACUAUAUAUCUCCAGGAUCCAAAUUUGAGUUCUUUUCAUAAGAGCGAAUACGGUUUACCACUGCACUCAACAUUUUUAAAAAAGAAUUAUGUAUAGGAGGAGGCAAAUUCUCUUAUAUCCUGUAUGUUAGUAUUGAGUUGCGGAUUUGCUGUGUUUCGAGUUGCAACUAAUGAUAUAAUUGAAAUUGAAAAAGAAAAGGGUUAAAAUAUGUCAUAGGUUCCUGUGCUUUUUAAUUUUAGGAAUUUAGUUUCUCUGCUUUCUAGAUUUCAAAAUUCAAGUCAAAUUAUUAAUUAUGUUAAUUUUUUGGGGUUGAAUUUGUUGGUGUGACAUUUUGAAAUUAGAAAAAAAAACCUUACUUGGUAGUAAUGUAACUAAAAUAAUGACGUUGUAAUGAACCUGAAUUUAACAAAAUAAUCUUAAUAGUGCUAACAAUUGGACCUAAUUUUUUACAUCUAAAAAGUAGGGGGAUUAAAUUCCAAAUUUCUGAAGAGUUUAGAGACUUAUAAUAUAUUUUAUCCAAAAAUUAGUUGUAGAGUUCAAAACCCCUUCCUACAUCUAUAUGGUCUUACUCGAAGAGUGAUUCAAAAUAAUUCAACAAUACAAGAGAUGAUUUAAGCUCAACUUACUCAACUUGUUGUUGCCUACAUGCAUAUAUAUAUAUAUAUAUAUAUAUAUAUAUAUAUUUGGGGUUAAAUCACUUUUUAGGAUCAAAACAUGGUAACAUUUUUUAUAUUGGGGUUUGAAUUUUUUUUCAAGUUAGGUCAUGAACUUAGCAAUUAUUCUUCCAUUGGGAACUAAACUUUUUUUUAUUCAAGAUAGAUCCUGAAUUAACAAUUUUUCCAAUAUUAGGGUUGAAUUUUUUUUUCCAAAUUAGUCUUUAAAAACCCUAAAAGUUCAGGUCAAGCCUCGAUGUGAGAAUAAUUGUCAAGUUCUUGGACUAACUUGAAAAAAAAUUCAAGCCCCAAUUUGAGAACAAUUGCCUAGUCUAGACCCCAAUGUGAGAACAGUUGUCAAGUUCAAAGUCUAACUUGAACCAAAAAAAAAAAUUUAUACUCCAGUGUAGAAAAAGUUACCAAGUUCAAAUCCCAAAUAAUAAUUUAACACUAUAUUUUAUAUUGAUAAAACAUAAAAAAAUAUCUUAAUUAAAUUAUAAAUAAAAUUAAUCAUAUAAUUAACUCUCAACAUUUAAUAUUAAGAUCCGUAAUUAAUUAUUUUUCCCUAAUGAUGAGAAACUAAUUUAACUUUUAUAUUUGAACUAAUAUACCGAUUAAUUUAACUUUCAUUCAAUUUAACCGAUCGAUCCAGUCCUAUUAAAUAACAUCGGUGAAAAUGAUGGCAAAUAUUUUAUGGGGAUUGGGACAUGUGGAUGCAUGCAUGGUAUGGCAUAUAAGUGAUUGCUGGGAUAAGCUAAUAAAUGGGGUUUUUUACUAAAUUAUUAUAAAAAAAUAAAAAAAUAAACAAAAUAUUAUAACUUUUUUUUUAUUUACCAAAAUAUUAUAAAUUUUUUUAAUUUACCAAAAUAUACCAAAAAAAAACUUGCAAAAAAAAACCUGUGGCGGCACCAAUGGUGCCAAAGCACUAAAAUGUAUUUGCAGUUUCAAGGACCUGACAUGCAAAUUUACCAUUUUAAAAUUUGAAAGUGAAUUGCCGCUGUGCGUGUGGGGCGCACUAAAAUUGAAAUGUGGCUAAUUGCCUUCUAAGCCCUCCUUAUUUUAAUUAAGUAAUAAACUUUAAUUAGUUAAGUGAUAAUUAAGAUACUUAGAAUUCUAAUUAAGUAAUAACUCUAUUUUAAUUUAAUAAACUAUUCUCAUUUAAUAAACUCUAAUUUAAUAAACUCUAUUUUGGUAGUUUGAUGAGAAUAGUUUAUUAAAUUAAAAUAGAGUUAUUAAGUAAUUUGAUGAGAAUAAUUUAUUAAAUUAAAAUAGAGUUAUUUCUUAAUUAGAAUUCUAAGUAUCUUAAUUAUCACUUAACUAAUAUUAGAUUUAAUUAAAAAAUUAACAGAAAUACCAGGCAUGCCUUAUUGAAAAACCAGAAGUAAUAAUAAAACUGAUCACCCAUAAAUGUAACCCAAAUAGAAAAAAUAAAUUAUAAUUAUAAACUAUUCUCAUCAAAUUUAGUAAAUUUUUUAAAUAAACUAUUCUCAUCAAAUUACCAAAAUAAUACAUAAAAUGCGAAUUAGUUUAUACUUUUUUAAAUAGCUUUACUUUAGGUAAAAUAUAUUUACUUUAAUAAUAAAAUAAAGGGAUUUUAUGAGUAAAAGUCAUAGAUUAAGAGCUUAUUUAACUACAAAAAUAGGUUGAGGGCUUGUUUAUUAAAUAAAAAAGUGAGUUAAAGGGGAAUAAAAAGAAAAUAAUAAAUAAGGAGGACUUAGAAGGCAAUUAGCCACAUUUCAAUUUUAGUGCACCCCACACGCACAGUGCAGCAAUUCACUUUCAAAAUUGAAAAUGGUAAAUUUGCAUGUCAGGUCUUUAAAACUGCAAAUAGUUGCAUUUUAGUCCUUUAGCACCAUUGGUGCCACCAAUCUCUUUGGCACCUUUGGUGCCGCCACAGGUUUUCUUUUUGCAAGUUUUUUUUGGUAUAUUUUGGUUAAUAAAAAAAUUUAUAAUAUUUUGAUAAAUAAAAAAAAGUUAUAAUAUUUUGGUUAUUUUUUAUUUUUUUAUAAUAAUUUAGUAAAAAACCCUAAUAAAUGCGUUCUCCAUUGGCAUUGAAUUUUGCCACCAUAACAAUAUUUGAGGUAAAUUUCAAAAAUAGUUCCAUAUCUUUGUUUAAGUUUAAUUUUGGUCACCGAUGUUUCAAUUGUUACGUUUUGUAGUUCACUUUUAUAUUCGGACCAAUAUACUCUUUCCCGUCUUCCUUUUCUUUUCUUCUAACCAAACCCUAGUCGCUGCUCACCGCCAUCGAUGGUCCUCCGGCCGAUAGUGCCACCAUUACUCCUCUCCUCUCCGUUCACUGAUUCAGAUUUCUUCUAGAGCAAACAAAAGGACAAAAGCCCAAGUUGAAGCUUAAACCUUUUCCAACCGUCAGAUCGGCCUAAUCCCAGGAUAUGUGCCUCUCCUCCGUCCAAUGAGGCUUUUCACCAUUGGAUUUGCGAGCAAAUAACUAGAGCCCCGAGAAUUCAACAACCCGAAAUGGGUUUUCUCUUCCCCUUUUGAUUUCCAUUUGCUCUCUUUUUCUUGAUUUUUUAUUCUCUUUUUUUCAUUUCUAUGCCUUCUUCUUUUCCGUGACAUGGAAGCCAUGUUAGCAUUUAGUGGUACAAUUUGUGCAAUGUCAGAUUUUUAUUAACACUAUUAACGGCCAUUAACCGACCAGUAAUCAAAUUGUUAAUAAUUGAUAAAAUUUAUGAUCAAAUCAUAACAAUUGAAACAUCAAUGACCCAAAUGUAAACUUAAACAAAGAUAUGGGAUUAUUUUUGAAAUUUCUAUAACACUAUUAAUGCCCAUGGUGGUAAAGGGCAUAAUUUAUUAUUAUAUUAAUCAAAAUUAUGUAUAAUUAGCAGAAAACAUUAAUUUUUGUAAUUAAUUGUCUUUAAUUACUCAUUUUCAAAAUUGACGAAAUUUAAAUUAUUCUAUCUUUUUAAGAGAUUAAUCUGCUCGAUAUUAAAAUUGAAGGAGACUGAAGAAAUAUUUUUACCUAAAAUUUUUUAGUAUAAGCCUAGCACUUUCCUAGCCAAUCAAGUCCUUAUCAUAUGGUUUGAUUGUCAAACUCAAAAUUAAAGUCAGUCUUUAUUAAAUCAAAUAAUUGCAAAGUGUAUAGCUUUUGCCGGUUCUAUCUUAAUAAUGUAAUCCAUCUAAUAAUAUAUAUUUGUUAAUGGGUCGGGUCGGAUCAAGUUCGAGUUAGGUUUAAGUAUAAUGUCAACACAUUGUAUGUUUAUCCAAGUUCGUUUAGUCUGAAAUAUAAAUUUAAAAUUUUAUCUAAAUCUACCCAUAUUUAUAAAUAUCUGGUCUAAAUUCAUUUUAAACCCGCUCAUAUUAUCUUUAAUUUAUUAUUUAAUAAUUUAAUUUUUUAUUUAUAAAAAAAUUUAUAUAUAGACAUCUAAUAUUUUUAAUGUUUAUAUAAUAUAUAUUAAAAAUUAAAAAGGGUCUAGGCUAAGUCGGACUUCAAAUGUUCAAACUCAAAUUCGACUCAUAUUUUAAACGAGCCUAAUUUUUGUUUAGGCUCAAUUUUACGAGAGUUUAACCUUUUUAAAAAUCAGACAACAUUGGAGUUAAACGAAUAACCCGAUCUAUGAAUAGCUCUAGAUUAACCCAAGACUCAAUUAUUUGAAAAACAUAAAAAGGGCCUAGGUAGACAAAAAGGUUUAAUGUAUUUUGUUUUUUGCCGGUAAAUUGAGAAUGCUGGAAUUGACAAAGCAACAAUAAAUAAGAAGCAUCUUUAAUUAGAGGCUGGCAAGCCAAUGGCUCUUCAAUUCCUAUUUUUUCAUUAUCUUAUAUUAAUAAUUAAUUUGGAUUAUUUAUUUUAUUUUUCUUGAUAAUGAUUAAACAUAAAAGUUUUAGUGUCAUAAAUAGAAAUUGGAGUAAAUAUAGAGUUGUUCAUAAGACAGGUGGCCCAUUUAGCUCGCGUAGUAUGAUCCGAUUUGAAUUUAAAUUAAAUUCUUUUUAAAUUUUAUAUAAAUAUAAAUAUCAAAUAAUAUAUUUUAAUAUUUUACUAAUUUUUUAAAUGGUGAUAUGGAAAAUUUUUUAAAAAUUUGAUAAUUAUAUAUUUCUUUCACUACUAUUAUAUAUAUUUUUAUUAAAUUUUCAAAUAUAAAUAACUUACCUUUUUUAAAAUAUAUACAUUAUGAUAUAACAUAUUUAAUUUUCAUAUGAUAUAAGUACAUAAUGCAUAAAUAAAAGGAAAAGUUACAUAUCAUAAGCUUGAAAACAUACUAGAGUUGAUAUUUGAAUACUGGAGUUCGAAUUAGACUUAUAUUUUAAAUGAACUUAAUUUUUUUACAUAAACUCACUCCUAGCAUGACGAUUGUUUUUUUUUUUUUUUCCGAAUCCUCCCAAUUAUUGAGAAGGAAUUUGAGUUAGGGUAGGUAUAUUGACCAUUGAACAAGUCCAAUCAUAGUUAAUAUUUUGAAAUUAUGAUUUAGAUUUUUAAUUGGUCGCUAAAUUUUAAAACUUUCUAACUGAACUAGCAUAAGUAUCGUAUCAAUCAAGUCUUUUCGAAAGUUUAGUCAUUAGCUUGAGGAUAAACGUUGGCUCAAACAUAACAUUGAGCCUAUUUUAAACAUAUGGAUCAAAUUAUAAUAUGUGUAUCGAAUUUGACGUGUUAAGAAAUGAAUCUCUUAAAUUUAAUUGACGAUGUUACUUGGGAUAAACAACACUCAAGAUUAAUAAAUUGAUAAAUUAAUGUUUUAAUCAUUUAACUUUAAAAAAUUACUAAAUAAUUACUGAACGGGCAAAAUACUAAAAAAAGUCCUAUUUUUUUAAAAUUUAUCGAAAUGGGCUCGGUAUUUUAUUAUUUACUGGAAUGGGCCAUUUUCCCCGAAAUCGCGUCCACGUCAGCGCGAUGUCAGGGGACGUGUCAGAACAUCGCGUCCACGUCAGCUCGCUUAGCUUAUGUGGACAGAAAUCGCGCCUACGAGGACGCGAUUUGCUGACGUGGAUGAACAGUUUAUGUUUUUUAGCUUGGAAAACUUUGAAAGGCCAUAACUUUUGGCUCGGUUGUCCGAUUGAGACGAUUUUUUUAUUUCGAAUAACUUUUCGAGAUCUACGCGCUGAAUUUCGAUUUGCCGCAGUUUUCGUCAAAAAAGAUCCUUUUUUGCCCCUGAAUUUCGAUUUUUUCAGUUUAAAAUUGAAUUUUGAAACAUUCAAAUCAUUAUUUUCCUUAUUUAUUUGAAGUAAACACCGGAUUUUUUUUACAGAAUUGUUGUAUUAUUUUUUCUGAUUUGACACGUGUAUGGAAUAGGUCCGAUAAAUCGUUAGAACGUAAGUAAUAUAAUUAAGAUUAUAACAGUAUUUCUAUAAUAUGUUAAUUAAUUAGUUUGGCUUAGUUGGUUAAGAUGCUUGCUCUUUUCCCUUAGUACCUUGGUUCAAAUCUUGUUGGUAACAAUUUUGAAUCUUUUUUGUACUUGUUGCUAUUGAUGUAAUAUUGAAGAGUUAAUUGAUUAAAAAAAUAAAUACAAGUACAAAAAGAUUCAAAAUUUAUUUUUUCAAAAUACCAAAAAAGCCCUAUAUUUUUAAAAUUUAUCAAAAUGGGCCCGGUAUUUUAUUUUUUUGACCGUUGGGUACUGUUCACGCGCGGGCCGAAAUCGCAUCCACGUCAGCAUCUCGCGCUGACGUGGACGCGAUUUCCUGACGCGUACCCUGACAUCGCGCUGACGUGGACGUGAUUUUCCGAAAAAAGAACCAUUCCGAUAAAUAAUUAAAAAAUAGGCCCAUUGCGGUAAUUUAAAAAAAAAAGCUUUUAUUAGUAAAUUGCCCAUUACUGAACUGCUUAAAAAUUUUCAUUUAAAUUACUGGAAAGGUUUUAAAUAUAUAAUUUUACAAUUUUUUUUUGUUUUAUUAAAUAAAUGACCGACAAUACUAUAAACCUUUUAGUUUCCACUUUCUAUCUUGUCUAUCAAUUCAUGGCAAUGUUAAUCAAUUAUGGUUAGUUAUGAAUUAUAAUAAGAAAUUAAUGAUAUUUAUUGAGACUAGUUCUAUGCACAUCCCCCGAGGGGGGCAAUAAAACAAUAAAGAAAAUUUUGGGUGAAAAUUCAAAAUAAUGAAAAAUUAAAAUUACUUAACUAAUAAUUUUUACUAUUUACCCUUAUCGAUUUAUUUAUUGCCAUGUACUCUAAUUUAUAUGAUUUUUGGUUCUUGUCUUUUUUAUGUUUUGGAAUUUUAGUGAAUACUUAAAUUAAUUAAGUUAAAUUUGUUAUUUCUAAAAUUUUACAUGGCAAACAUGUUUUUUUCCACAUAAUCCUUGCAAAAAAAAAGUCAAUCACUUUAGUUAAUUGAUAAAAUAGUUACGGUUUGAAUCGUGACUAAAAUAUCAAAAUUUAAAAGUUAAGUAUUAAAAAUAAUGAAAUUGGAGAACAUGGUCUAAAUCCAUAAUUUAGGCAUAGUACAAGAUUAAUAGCAUAAUUUGAUUUAACAUAUUUAACUGUCGUUUGGGUUGAGAUUAAAAUUUCAAAAUUCAAAAAGUACAAAGAUUAAAAUUGACCAAAUUAGAGUAUAAGAACAAAAAUUAAUAAAUUAUACAUGAUAUAGGGAGUAGGGACCAAUAAUAAAAUUUGACCUUAUAAAUGAAUAAAAAGUGCUAAUGGUUUUAAAAACUUACUGUGAUAAAAAAAAUGCAUGAGAGAGAAGUUAAAAUUAGGAAAGUUUUCUAGUCUCAUCAUUAGCUAUUGCUAUGUGUUGGUUUUUUCUGUUGAGUUUAAGACUUAUGAAGAUAAAUAUUAAUUACAAAUAAGAUUCCGCUAAAAUAAUCUCAUAAAAAGACUUUACAAAUAUAAUCGUAAAGUUCAAAAUAAAACAAAAAUUUACAAGAUAUAUCUUCAAGUCAAUCUUCAUAAAUCAAGGGAUCCAAUUUAUUUGACCUAGAUCAGUCCAAACUUCAAGGAUUUGUAGCUUCACAAAAUAGAUCUUCAAAUAUGGGUCAACACAUGUUCAUAAUAUUCACUAAGUCAUGACCCAACUGUUUUGGUUUAAAGAUCCGUCGACAUUAAUAAGCCAAGUUAUGUAACUUGUGGGCACUACAUGAGACAUUGCUCACAUAUUGCCUCAACAAUCUCUUCCAACAAGAAUUCUAUAUUUAGAAUAUGAAUCCAUCUUUAUAAAGUACCAUUUAAUCCAUCUUAAUCUGUCUAAAUUUUAUCAAAUCAAUUACCCUUAAUAUAAGAUUACAAAUGAUUGUGGUAAAUCUUCAUAAAAUCAACUCGCGUCUUCUUGGAUUUACAUAUCCAAAUAUAUAAGAUAACUUAAUUUGGACACGAGCAAUAUUACUACUUUAAAAACUUACCUAGACCCAAACACUUGUAUAAACUUAUUUUGUAUGAGAAAUUAUAGAGAAGAUUAAUUAAAUUUUAAUCUAAUUGCUGCAAAAUUUUCAAUUAUUUCAAUGGGAUAAUGCUAAGAAUAUUAUAUGAGAUUUGAGACCCUACAUUAUUGUGAAAUAUCAAAUCAGACCUACAUGACAUUUUUUUUCUUCAUAUAAAUCAAAUUUAAUGUAUAGAAAGUUCUAUUUUGUAUAUUUUAGCUGGAUCACACAUAAAAAAGUACUUUUAAUUCAUUGAAUUUUUUGAAGGGAAAAUCAAAUCAGGUAUAAUUUAAUAUUUCAACAAGCACAAAUAAUUGAUCUUUUGUGUGGUUUUAGAUAAAAGAAAUAAAUUUUAAAUAAAUCGCUUAGAACCAAUUGAAUAGGAUAAAAAAAUUGAUUAAAUUAAUGAUUGAAUUGAAUUUAUACUUUUAUAAUUAUUUUUUAAAAUUUAAAAUUAUUAGUAAUUUAUUUAAUUAAAAUUGAAGUGGUAAUCAAUUUGAUCAAACCGAAAAUCGAUUAUCUGAUGAAUUUAAUCACCAAUCCAAUUCUUAAUGCAUGUUUUUGACUUGGACAGGAAUUUUUCUUUUUAAAUUUAAUAUUGGAAAAUGAUUUUUCUAUGUAUAAUGUUUUUGGCUUAAAUACUCAUUUAGCUUUGGAAUUUAUCAUUUUCUCCCAAUUUGGUAUUUAUGGUAUUUUUGUUCCAAUAUUAAAUAUCAAAACCUUUGAUGGAAUGAAAAUCGAGAUACCAACUUGAAACAGAAAACCAUAAAUACCAACUUAAGAGAAUAUGAUAAAUUCGAGGGUUAAAUGAAUAUUUAAACCAACAUUCACUGAUUCAAGUAUAAACAACUACCCUAUCACAAAUUCAUAGAUUUCAUCCUUCGUUAUAAAACAAAGUUGCUGUGAUAAUUUUAUUUUCAAAAUGAAAUAUAAAAUAAUUAUUAAAUAAACUAAUUAAAAAUAUCAGAAAAUAACAAUUUCCUUUCGGUACUUUCACAGUAUCACUAUAAAUAUACUCGUAUAUAUAUAAAAAAAACUAAUAAUUUUCUUUUAAUUAACCAUAUGAAAUCAAUAAUUAAUUAUUACAUUUUUAGAAAUAAUAAUUUAAUUAAAAUUGACACAUAUAUAUAUAUAUUUAAAACUCAUAUCAAUAAAUUAAAGCUUCUAAGAAAAAAAAAUGAAUGUUAUUAAAAUAAUUAUGAAAAUCUAAUUAAAAAGCUAGCUGCCUCAAAGCUCAUUAAAUGCAUGCAAGGCAAUUGCAGGGUCAGGUAUGCACACGCCCUGAAAAAGAUUGCUCAAACAGUUUCUUACAUGCAGAGACUUUUUUGCCUAAAAUUAUACCCUCAAUCAUUUAACAUCACAGAGACUUUUUUGGCUAAAUUUAUACCCUCAAUCAUUUAACAUCUCCUUUUCUUAUCUGCUAAAUUCGAUUUAGUAAAAAUAAUUAAAAAAUUUGAAUGACAAAAAUAUGAACUUUUAAAACCUAAAUGAUUAUUGGGAAAAAAAUAAUUAACAGAGAAAUUUAUAUUUUAAUAUAAUGAUAAAAUUGUACUUUAAUUCCUCUAGUAAUUCAUAAUUCAUAUCUAACUUUCUUUAAAAUAAUUUUCUAACUUCGUCCAUGCUUCAGCGUAUACAGGGGCAGAAUCACCUUUAAUCCUUUUAUAAUUUUAAAUAAUUUAAAUUAGCAUAUGUAAAAUUACACUUUGCCUCUCAAGAAUGAGAACAAAAUUAGUAUAUAAACUAUUAAGAUGAUGAAAUUUUACUUUUACUAUUAUAAAAAUAUACAAUUUUAUUCCGACCCCUCAAUUUCUCUGGAUUUUGAUUGAUUUCCACUAGUUGCCACUAAAUUGUACUAAUGUAGAGUUGAAUUUUAUUCCAAAAAAGCUACUAAUGGUAUCAAUUCAAUACAAUAUAUAUAUAUAUAUAUAUAUAUAUAUAUAUAUAUAUAUAUAUAAAGUUCAAUGAUUUCGAUAUACCGUUUGCACAAUCAACACGUUUGGUCUAAAUAAUUAUGAAAAACUUGUAAACUCAUCAUUGAAUACAAGUAUCAUUAACAUUAAAAUAUUUAUCUAUUUCUAUUAUUAAAAACUGACAUGAUUAAUAAUAAAAUAACAAAAUAGUUACAAGUGACACACCACGUGUACCUCACUCUAAUGUACAUUAACCAGUUUUUAACAAUAGAAAUGGAUACAAAUUUUAACCGAAGGACUAGUCUGCUGUUUGAUUUAAUGCAUAAAGACUAACUUACCCAAUUUUAAUAGAAGGGACAAAAUAAAAUUUGACUCUCAGUACAAACAAGACUCCUGUUACUUUUACCUAUUGAGAAACAAUGGAAUUGAAAAAGAAAGUUGGAAGUUCAAAUUCAAUGGGAUAGAAACCUUGAAAGGACAGUGGAUAGUUCUCUUUGAUCUAUAUAACAAGUGAUAUAACAAAAACAGUAAUUUAAUUUGAUUAUUAUAAAACCCUGGAAAGAAUCUUACAGUACAAUAAAUAGUUGUUCAAGAAUAUCAACUUGCAAUUCUACUGAGUUGAGUAACUAGCUCCUUAUCUGUAGAGUUUUUCAAAUGUUCGACGAUUUCGUCGACAUACGGAGCUUCUAAGUGAAUCCUUCUUCUAAGCAUUAACCUAGCAAGCUUCACAGCUUCAACUGAAUGGCUUUGCCGACACAAGCCAACCAAAAGAAUAGAAUAGAUGUCAGUGUCGAUGGAUGAAAUGUAUUGAAUCCGCUCGAUUUCAUUGUAUAAGCAAAAACCAUCUAGCACUCGUCCCUCAUGACAGAUCUCCCUAAUCAUGGUACUACAAGCAAUGCCACUAGGUUUAGCCCCACUUACUAACAUUUUCCUAAAGAGCUUCUCUACCUCAUUGAGUCUAUUAAUCCUAAUCAAAGCCAAUACAAGAGAACUGUAGCAAUCACUAUUGGAAACACCACGUCCGGCAACUCUAUCGAUCAACUUAUAUGCUUCUUCGACAUGUCCCUCGGUGCAAAGACCCGUGAUCAAAGUAAUAACAGUUAUACGGUUAGGAACACACUGGCAAGCUUCCAUUCUAUCCAAAAUCCUCAAUGCCUCUAUUGUUUGACCCUUCUCACAAAAGCUUUUAAUCACAGAUGUAUAUGUGAUUACAUUUGGACUACAAUUCCCACCUGCUUUCUCCAUCUCCCCUAAUAAUUCCAAUGCCUUUUCCGUACUCCUGUACUUACAAAUACCCUCGAGAAGCACGGAAUAAGUCACAGCAUUUGGAGAAAACCCUUGCCCCUUCAUAGCCUGAAACAACUCACAAGCCUCCUCCAAUCUACCAGCAUUACAGAACCCCUUGAUCAUUGCAAAAUAAGUCAUCAUAUCGGGAUAAAGAUCAAUCAAGCCAAUCUCUUUCAUCAAUUUAUGAGCCAUAUCCAUAUCCCCUUUCUCACAAAGCAGCCUGAUAACCACAUUAUAAGCAGUAGUAUCCGGACGUAAAUUAAAUUCAGGCAUUUUCCUCAAUAGCAACAAAGCUUCAUCGGCAAUGUUAGCUUCUUUACACAAAUUCAAAACAACCUUAAACAUUUUAAGGUUAACUGAACACUUUUCCAUCCUGUAAGCUUUGAUAACAUCCAAAACAAGAAAUGGGUUUUGCUUAAUUUUCAAAAAUCCAGCAGCUUUGUUGUACAUAUAAGAACUAUACCUACAAUUUGAUUGAAGACCUGCCCAUAUGAAAAACCUUAAACCUAUUUGAGAUAGAGAUAUAUCAAAAGAACAUCUUUUUAACACCUCACAAACACAGUUUGGGUCCAAUUUGGCAUUGACUAAAGCUAAGGUUUUCUCUAUAUUGCUUUGGUUUUUCUCUAAAAGAGUGAAAAAUUUGUCGGCAGAGGAGACCGAUCUGAAUUGAAGAUUGAAAAUUUUGCUUUGUUUAGUGUGAAUUGAAAGUGAAAUCAAUCUAGAGAGAGAAGCAAUUGGCAUUGCUUUGUGGGGGAAUUUAGUGUCUUUGCAAGAGUUGAGGUUGAACAAAACAAUGAGGUAAAAUCUUACGAGAUUGUUUCCGAAUGAAGUUGGAUAAGUUUUGGCAAGAAUGAGGCCAGGUGUACCGAGUUGUUCGAAUGUGGCCCAGUACGGUGGCAUCAACUCAUAGCCAGGCAACCAUAACCUCAUAUAUGGCCCUGCAUUAUAACGAUAGAGCAUUAAGGUAACUCACAAUUAUGUAUGAUUUUCAUUUUAUUAAAAACAUAACAGUAUCAAGCAUAUAUCCGUGUUUGAUGUUCAAAUAUGAGUCCGGUGUGUAAAAGCGGAAACACGACAUUUCCUAAAAAUUAUUACCAUAUUAGCACAAGUCAGUGAUGGCUAAGCUUCUAUUACAUUGAAAGAUUGUUAAAUCGAAACCUGCAGUUUUAACACAUUAACUUCAUCAAAGUGGAAAAGCAAAACCGAAUUUUAUAAAAAUUAUAAUCGGAAACGAAAUUCACUUUGACGGAAACCGGAAUAACAACUGAGUUUAGUCGGUCGGUCCCGUCGGUUAAUCAUACCGAAAAAAUAUCAUGAAAAAAGCUGUUUUUUUUUUUAAUUUACACAAACCAUAAUGAAAGUAAAUUUGUAGUAAAUAAUUGAAUUUCCCAUAAUUGAUCGCAACAAAAAACUCAAUUUACAACCAUAAUUAAUUGGAAAGCUAAUCGAAAGUCAUAAGCUACCUGUUUCAUUUGGCUACUACUUCAAAUGACUACCAUAGAAUUUCGAAAUGGGCCAAAACUAAUUUUAGGGUAAAAGAAAAGUAGGCGAUGAGCAAGACGACAAAGUUGAACAUCAAUAGAUUAAAUAGUUUUAAAAGAAAGAUUGAACAGCUAUAUACAGUAGAUUAAAUGUGGCAAAAGCCAAAAAUAACUUACAGUGGCCGGUGACGAGGCGUUUUCCGAUGAGCAAGGCGGCAACCGAGGUCCGAGAAAGGUUGAAGGCGAUGAGCUGUUACCCACCGGCGUUGGGUUUGCUGGUUCAGUUCAAGGCUGUUCACCAUAGAUUUAGGCUUUUAUUUUUAAUUCGUUUAAAAUUUUUUCUUUUUUAAAUGAAUUAAAAUUUGUAUUUGGGUUUUUUAGUUUUUAGAAUUUGUAUUGGGCUUUAAUUUUUAUAGCUUGGAUCUUGUGUAUAAUGAAUUUAUUUGGGGAUUGGAAAAUGAGUAUGAUAUUUAUAUUUUAAAAAUAUAUAAAAUUAAUAAGUUAUAUUAAUUCGAAUUAGAUUUUAAAAUCGAUUGACUUAAAAUAAUUGAAUUAGUCUCUCAAAUCGAUUUGAAAUUAAAAUUGAUUUAAUUGAAUUAAGUGAAUCAAAUUUAAUCGAUUAAUUCGAUUUUAACCAAGUUUUCAUCAUCUUUAAAUUAAGUGAAAGUAUAUAUGUAAAAAUGUAUACUAUAUUUCAAACACAUAAAAGAGUUGGUAUCACGAGUCAACUGGACGCUAACUUAAGUGAAAAUACCCUUACUUUACAAAGUAAAUUGUAUUAUUUUAAGGAUGUUUUUGUCUUUCUACAUCUUUUAUAUAGAAAAAUGUUUACAUAUAAUAAGACUUUAACUUGUGUAUUUAUAGUUUCAACAUUUAUACUUUACAAUUCAACCAAAGUCUCAUUUACUAUAUUAAUUAAUUAUAAAUAUAUUUAUUAUAUAAUAUUAUGUUUUUCGUCUACGUGGUUGUGUCAUAAUCUAGUAAUAAUAGUAAAUAAAGUUUAUGCAAUUUAGGUUAAGUGAGUCACAGUACACCCAUCUCUUUACGCGCAUUUCGUUUUUAUCCCAAAGCUUUAAACUCACCACGCAGUCCUAGUCGUUCGCCGCAAUGCUUCGCUUUUCUUCAGUGGUUUCUGGCAUUGAUUUUGGUUUCAAUAUGUUCCCCUUAAUCUCCUGUCUACUAUUCUAGGAUUAUAUCCCAACAUCAUUGGUUUUCUCUAAUCUAAACUCAAAGUUUUGGUUGGCGUGCUUUCGGUCUCCCUCGCACACUGUUAACCACAACUCAAAUCUUAUAGUAGUCACUUUGAGCUUUCCAAAUCUAGUUUGACUAAAUUUGGGUCAAUGAAGCAUUUCACCAACGCCAUUCACUGCUCGAUCUUCUCAUGAAGCCAACGACUUGUUCCUUCUGUUCUCAUGAAUUGUAGGUUUUAUGUUUUCCCUAAUUUUUAUUCCUUGUUGGAUUGCAUUGUGUCACGGGUCAAGACUUUAGCUCCGAUCAUGUGUGACUUUAGAUUCGACUAAGUCAGCCUUUAGUCCUCGCUUGGGAGAGAUUUUAGCACACUUAGGGAACUUAGAUAGAACAAGAGAAUGUGGGAGAAUGUGGAAGCAUUCUUAUUAACUCUCAAAGUUAGCUUGUACAAAUGAGGGAUGAGAGCCUCUCCUUAUAUAAGUAAGCCCCAUUCAAUCCAACGGUUACAAUUGAUUACAAUAAAUGGUCAAUAUCACAUUCUAGAACUUUCCCACUUAACUCCAUUAAAUUCUAUACAUGAACGGAUAGUUCUAGAGCUUCCAAAAAUAUUCUACAUGGUUCUAAAGUCUUUCGGGGCACUUCGGGAAUCUUGUGGCUCAAUAGUCUCGUGUUUGCUCGAUUUCGGGCUUGAUAAGGCCUUGCUCACUCACGAAUCAUGACACUUGGAUUAGUUGCCUUGCUUUGUCUCUAUUUUUUUUUCAAUUGCAAAAUAGGAAAUCAAGAAAACUACUAGGUUUGUGCUAGGGAAUUUGCUUCAAGGGUAGGCAUUUCAACCCUUAAGGUUCUUUUGGAAGGGUAAGGAUGAAGGUAAAAGUGGGCUAGACUGUGUUAACCAAAGGUUUCAAAGAAUUUGACAUUCAAGAUUGUUAUAUUGCUACCUCGGCUUGGGCAUGUGGUAACAUGAGAAGCGAUUGAGGAAACACACAUGGAUGGCCUUCCACCUUAUAUCGUCCAUAUGAUUUCUCAAUGACCAAUCACCUGCAUGCUUCGUACUACCCAGGGGAAAGAUCAUCUAUCCUUAACCACUCGAUUGGACCCUUCGUUAGGCCACCCGCUAUUAGCUAGUGCACUCUCCUCAAGAGGAGACCUUCGAGUGGUGUAAUUGGACAGGAGACCUCCUACCUAUAAAUACCACAAGAUACAACAUAAAAGGGAUCUUCUUCUUCCUUCUCAUAAACCCUAAAUAACAUACUAAGCCCUUAGCCUCCUCUUAUUCCCUCACUUUUCCAACUCUUCACUUGUUUAGAUUAACCAACCUCCUUCGCUCCACCACCUUCUCCACCAUAUUUCCUCAUUUGUUGAUAUAUUGUAUCAACAAAUAUAUUUAAAAUAAAUAAAAUAUAUAAAUAUAUGAAGUUUGUUAAGUUGAUUGGUUCAAUUAUGAAUAUUAAUAACCUUAAACUGACUAACUUAAUCAAAAGCAUGUGCCAACUAAUUUAAUAAAAUACACAAACCCAAUAUUGGUUUAACCGAAUGAACCAAUUAAAUCAAUAAUAUUCGAUUUUUGCUUACCCUAUGCAUCCAAAGAGAAAAGAAAAUUGAUUUUCAUCCAAUUUUUUUAUUCGCUCUGCCUACCAUGCGGUGAAGGUUGAGCUAUAGAAAGAAAAAAAAAAACCCAUGCCCUUUCCAAUUUCAAAAUCGAAAUUUUUUCAAUCAAAGUAUCAUAAAAGCUCAUGUAGUAAAGUUAAAUUGUGUUUUGUCCAUUUUACUUAAAAAUUAAAAAAUUAGUCUCUAUAUAUUAGGGCAAGGAACAAAUUGGUCCUUUUAGCUAAAAAGUUCAUCAAUUUUUAACAAUAGAAAUGGAUAAAAUUUUUAACAGUGGAUAAAAUUUUUAACAGAGGACUAAUUGACUCUUUAAUCUAAUAUAGAUUAAUUUGGUUCUACUACAGGGUCAUCCACGAUACAUUUACCAAAAAUUUUCUCAUAUCACAUAAGUUUCUUUUUGGUUUAUAUCACAAGUGUCCUUAUUCGAUAUGAGAUUAGUUUCGCUCGGGUUAAGAAUGGAUUCGAGUAAAGCCCUCUCAAUAAUGAGAAUUCUAAAAAUCGAACUUAACCUAAAUUACCGACGGAAAAAUCCACUCUUUCCAAGCACUUGUUAAUACGGUUUAACAAUAUAUUUAGACAAAAAUAAUAAUAAUUGAAAUAAUCUACAUUCUUCUUAUGAUACAUCAGUGAUUUCAUAUCCGUUUUGUAAGAACCGGUUGGCGUUUAUGGUGUUUGGUUGCUGUUUUUUGUUCCAUAGUUGUCUUCUUUCUUUGUAUAUGUACUGAAUUACGGCUUUUUCCUCUUCUCAAAUGCUCCUUUCAAUACUGUCAUCCCACCCUAUCUUUCAAAUUCUAUUGCCUUUCUUUCUCUAUCUUCUAUUAUAUAUAGUAACUUGUCUCUGUUUCCCAAAUCUUUGUUGGCCAUUGUAGCUUAAACAAAAGCUCAACACCCGAGGUUUUAAGAAAAAAGGUUUGUUUUCCUUUUCUGCCUUCUCUUUUUUCCUUUUUGUCAUUCGCUUCUGCAUUAACUUACUUGUCCUUCGAUCGUUACAUCAUUUCAACAGACUGCGAUAUAUCGCCCGCCCUUAUAAUAUUAUUACCACUCUCCUCUUCCGUUAUAAAAAGUAUCCAAAUUUUGCCAUCGUUUUCUUCAUCAAAAUGAGCCAUAGUUUCAUAUUUUCCCUUCUUUUUCUCUUGAUUUUAAGCUCAACCCAACUGAGAUACAAAGCUGAAGGUAACUUUUAAUCAUCUUUUUCAUUAGGCAAUUUUUUCUUGCUUGCUUACUUUUGUUUCUGCAGGUAGAUCAAUACCAAAAUCCGAUGAAGAAAAGGCGAGGUUAAGAGCACAGAUAGGAUCAAGGCCACCAAGGUGUGAGAGAAGGUGCAAUUCAUGCGACCAUUGUGAAGCCAUUCAAGUGCCUACCAAUCCUCAAAUCUCCCAUGUUGCUUAUGCAAGAGGUGAUGGAAGCUCUAACUACAAACCCAUGAGUUGGAAAUGCAAAUGUGGCAACUUCAUCUUCAACCCUUAGCUCAUAAAUACAUAUAUAUUUUAGGUUCUUAAAUACCCAUUUUUGAACCAUGUAAGUAUUUUUUUUUUUUUUUUGCUUGUGAGAACAUAUUAGAAUUCCGUUGUGAAAUUUCUUGAUUAUCUGAAUCUUUAAAAAGAAAAUGAAUCUAUAGUACUUGCUGUUGCUGUGGGGCGUGUAUUUGUACUGGUAUNNNNNNNNNNNNNNNNNNNNNNNNNNNNNNNNNNNNNNNNNNNNNNNNNNNNNNNNNNNNNNNNNNNNNNNNNNNNNNNNNNNNNNNNNNNNNNNNNNNNACGUACUAAGAUACGAUUUCUUGGGCAAAUCGUUAUGACGUUGGGAGGAAGGGGGGUCUAGAAAUUAGUGUAAAGUAUUUACUUAAAAAGUAGACAAUGAUUUUUGAGUUGGUAUAGUUUCACCAUACACGCCAUCGUGUCUGGUUUUGGUGUCAACUAUUGUCGAAAAAUGCGAUAGGAAUUGAAGUGAUCAGAGAGGGUAAAGGAAAAAGCUUAAACUGUUCUUUUAAUGGCAGAUUCCAGUUGUGUUUUCUUCUUAUUGUCUCUCUUCGUUGCUUACUUGGCGUGUAAGGAAUUACAUAGUAACGAUUCCGUUUUCCUUGAAAACUUACUUGAACAGUCAGCUCGCCUGGUUUCAUUAACAUGACAAAACAUACAUGGGUCUAAAACCAAAACAACUUUUAGGAUUUAAUCUAAUUGUCUGAAUUGAUUAUCAAGAUUGCUCCGUUGGCUUAUUUCAUUGUUUCAUAAUGAUUAAUUCGAUUUUUUAAGUAUUUAAAUUAGAUUAAGUGCAAUUUUCAGUAAAAUAAACCAAUCCAUUUAAUCAACUUUUCUAUUUUUUAAAUAUGUUUAUAAUAUAUAAUUUUUUUGGGUAAAUAAAGGUAGUGGACACUAUUAUAAAUAACAAUCCCUCUAAAUCAUAUUACGCAUAUAGACUCUAGAAAUGAAAAUAACGUUUCAUCUCUGAGUAAGGGUAUUAAUAGUCUUGUUGAUAUAACUUCUUUUUAUUUUGGUAAAUUAUAUAGUAAAGUCAGUUCUGUAGAAGAAAAAGUAAAUAACUUAGGUAAUAUAAAAGAUUUAGACUUAAACCAUGAGUCUAAAGAAAUAUUAACUAAUGUUAAUAAUAAAUUAGAUCAAGUUUUUAAUAAUAAUAAUAUAGAGUCCGAUGUAAAUUUAGGUCCUUUAUAUUAUGGUAAUGGUCAAGAUCAUAUUUUUGUUUUAUCUGAUGAAGAAAACACUUCAUCUGAUGAGUCGUCAUCUAUGUUAAAAAAUUAUAAAAAACAUAAAAAACGUAAAAAAGUUGAUAAACAAAAAGAAUAUGAUUUCCAAUCCUAUAAAACACUUAUAGAACAUUGGAAAGAAAAAUUUGCUACUACUAAUGAUCAACUUGAAAGAGUUGAAUAUUUAAAACUAAUAGAAGAACUUUAUGAAAAACAUAAAGAUCUUUUUAGUAUGUUUAAUUAUCAUUAUAUGUUAAAAUAUGAUGAUACAAGUAGUGGUUCGAGUAAUUCUGAAAACACAUAAUUAUUCAAAAAUCAAUCUGGUGAAGAAAAAACUUCAACAGAUCAGGAAAUAAAAAAUAGAAACUUAUCUGAUGAAGAAAAAACUUCAACAGACCAGGAUGAAGACAUAAAAGUCUCAACCUAUACUUCUGAUGAAGAAACCACUUCAUCUGAAGAAGAAAAUAUAGACAUUCCUGAACCCAUGGAUACUGAACCACCAGAUCCUCGUGGAAAAAGGAAGUUAGAAUCUGAUGGUCUAACAGAUGACUAUCUUAGAUUUUCUAACAAAGAUUAUGAAUUAGAUAAUGGAAAAUUUAGAAUCUUUGGUAACAAAUCCGAAGAUAUAGCUACUAAUGAUGUUAAACCUGAACAUUUAGGAGAAACAUCUAGUCAACCUGUUCAACAAAGAAUAGAUGACUUAAAUAAAAGAAAUGUUGCUCAAGGAGGAAUAUAUUUAGAUUUGACUAAUAUUUCUAUUCCAGACUAUGAAAAAACCAUAGAAAAUUGGGCACAGUCAAUGACGAUUGUUGUAAACAACAACACAUNNNNNNNNNNNNNNNNNNNNNNNNNNNNNNNNNNNNNNNNNNNNNNNNNNNNNNNNNNNNNNNNNNNNNNNNNNNNNNNNNNNNNNNNNNNNNNNNNNNNNNNNNNNNNNNNNNNNNNNNNNNNNNNNNNNNNNNNNNNNNNNNNNNNNNNNNNNNNNNNNNNNNNNNNNNNNNNNNNNNNNNNNNNNNNNNNNNAAAAAGAUCAAGAUAGUGUUGCUAGCUAUACUCUUUCAAAAAUUAAAUUAUGUGAUAUUAGAUAUUUGGAUGAAUUUUCUAAAAAAUUUCUUCAUGAAUAUCAGAAAUUAAAAAAUGAAAAUAUAGAGUUUUGGAAAAACCAAUACUUUCAUAAAUUAACCCCACCUUGGGAUGAGAUAUGUAUAAACAAAUAUGUAUCUUAUUUAGAAAAGCAAAGUAAAACAUCUGGGCUUUCUUAUGAAAAUUUAGAUUCUAUAGGAAAUAGAAUUUAUUUUGCAAGAGAAAGAAUAACUUUGCACUGCUUGCAAACUAAAGCGGCUAAACAAGUCAAAAAUAAAUUAGGUUAUAAAUAUUGUUCUAAAAUAUUAGAAAAUGAAUGGGAAUUUGGGUGUAAACAAAUAUAUCCUAAAACCUAUAAAAAACGUAAAAAAAUAUAAAUUUAGAAAAUGGAAACCAGGUAAUAAAAAAAUUUCUGGUCAAAGUCAAAAAGUGGUAAGGAAAAAGAAUUCCAACCAAAAGAAACAAAUAUGUAAAUGUUUUAUUUGUGAUGAAGAAGGUCAUCUAGCUAACAAAUGUCCUAAUAAAGGGAAAAAUGCUAGGAAAAUGAUCAAAAAUCUUGAAGAACAAGAUUUAGAAAUAUGUUUCAUACAGGAAACAAAUCCUAAUGAAAUAUUAUAUGAAUUAAUAUCAGAAACAGAUUCUGAUGAAGAAUAUAUUUUUAUGUUUAAUAUAGGAAAUAAUUCUAAAAAUCAAUUAGAAGAAAUUCCUAAUUCUGAACAACAGAAUAUUAAAUUAGGAAGUCUAAUCGGAGAAGAAAAAGACUUUUCUGAUGAAAUGAUAGAGAAGAUUAACAAAAAUCAUAUCUCUAAAGAAGAAAUUUAUAAAAUCUCUAAGUUCAAAAUCUGGACACAGAGACACAUAGAAAAAAUUAGCGGUAAUACAGUCGCUAAAGAUACAAGAGGAGGAUUAACAGAAAUCCCACUCUUUACUAAAGAAAAAAUUAAGAGGAUUAGAAAGAAAUAUCCUCAAGUUAGAUAUAUUCAUUUAGGUAUAAUCAUGAUUACUAUAAGAGCCUUAUUUAGGAGAGGUCAUGGUAUUCCUAUUAUAGCAGUACUUUUAGAUAAAAGAUUUGAAAAUCCAAUAAAAUCACUUAUUGGAGGAAUUCAGUCUAAUUUACAUAUGGGCGUAAUAGGAUUUAAAGUUAAACCCAAUUACUUUAUUUCCAUUACAGAUCCUCUAAUAGAAGAGUGUCUUUGCCUUAGAAUUCAGACAAAAAAUUCUGAUAUUAAUGAUUUAGCAGAAGAUCUAGCAAUCAGUUGGACUUCUAUUAAUGAAUAUACAAAUACUGCUGAAGUAGAAAUAAAAGAGAUUAAUAACAAAAUUAUUGAACUCUUUGAACCAAACCGGUUCACUACUGAAAUUCAGCCUAGAUUAUUAGAUAUAAGAGAUCUGUCAAUUCCAAGAGAUUGGAUGAUAGAUAAAAUUAGUAAUGCAAGUACUUCUAAACCAGUAAGUACUAUAGAAUACAUGUCAUCUGGAAACAAAUUAUAUUUUAAAAAUAAUUGUAUAACCAAUACAAAUGAAAAUUUAGUUUUACCCUCUAGUUCUCAACCGGAAGAAGAAGAGGAUAAUAUUAGUACAAACAGUACACCAAUAGGAAUUAAAACUAUACAAAUUCCUAUAUUUCCUACUGAACCCAGUAUUAAUUCUAGAAAAACUAGAAUGGAAGAAAUACAGGUUUCAACGAUUGAUAAAAAGUCAAAAGUUGGAAUAAUUAUAAGAAUUACAUUCCAGUUUAGUAAAUAUAAACCAUAUUCUCUAAACGCUAUGAUAGAUACUGGAGCUACAAUCUGUAGUUGCAGAAUGAAUGCGAUCCCUGCAGAAAAAUGAGAAUUAAUUAGAAAACCUAUAAUAAUAAAAGGUAUAGAUGGUAAUAAAACCAUUAUUAAUUAUAAAGCAAAAAAUAUACCAAUCUACAUAAACAAUGUUAGAUUUGUAAUUCCUAAAAUUGUAUGUUUUCCUAGUAUGCAAACAGAUAUAUUAUUAGGAAAUAAUUUUAUACUUAGACAUUUACCUUUUACUAUUAACAAAAAUAGUAUUUGGUUAUCAAAAGAAAAAGAUUUUAUAAAAAUACCAAUUGAAGAAGAUAAUAAAAUUGUGUGUAAUAAAAAUUUUACACCAGUUAAAAUUAAUUAGCCAAUACUUGCAAUUUAUUACUAAUACUUGCUGAUUUUUUAAGCAGGCCUUAUGGAUAGAGGUAAAAAACCUCUACAUCAAGCAAUAGUUGGUGAAUGGACAACCGUUCACAAAAAACCCAUCAAAGGGAAAGCAGAAUCAACAUCCAAAAAAGGAUUUGUACCUGCACAACAAACACCAUUUUAUCCUAACCAAGGAUAUUAUGUGUCUUAUCCAAUGGUAAACCAACCACUUGGAUCAAAUGUUUUAAAUUACCCAAUGGUAAAUCAACCAAUGGGAAAUACUUUUUCAUUGACCCCAAACACGGUGAGUCAAUUACAAUGGUCCCAAAAUCCGAAUUCAGUAUCACAAACAAGUUAUGCUGAAGUCAUUAAGGGAGCAGAGAAUUUGUUGAAUCAACAAUAAAUUCAAGAAUUAAAAGAUCUUUCAAAAAUUAAAGAUUUUUAUAAUCCUGGUUUAUUACCAGAAAUUUAUAAUUUUAUAAAUGAAAUAUGGAAAACCCAUGUUUCACAACAAAGAGCCAGUUUCCGUGGAGCUCUUACCAGAUUUUCAUUAUUUUUAGUUGAAAAAACAACUAAAGAGAAUGAAGCUGAAGAUUUAUUACUAAAAUCUAUUUUAUAUAGAGAAUGGGAUGAAUUCCAGCUAGAAUUCAUUGAUAUUAAGGAGAUAAACAAUCUUCUUGAUAUUAUUCAAUAUUUUAUUCAUAAAGGGAAAAACAAUUCUAUUAUGAAUAAAGUAUUUAGAAUAUGUAUGUAUAAUAAAGCUAGGAAAUUAUUACCAGUAGAAAUAUUCAAAAAAAUAAAUAAAGUAAUUUGCAGACAGCAAAACCAGUUUCAAAAAGCUUUUUCAGAAUAUUUUCUACANNNNNNNNNNNNNNNNNNNNNNNNNNNNNNNNNNNNNNNNNNNNNNNNNNNNNNNNNNNNNNNNNNNNNNNNNNNNNNNNNNNNNNNNNNNNNNNNNNNNAUUUAAUAUAACCAAUAUUGAAUGGAGUUUUACUAAAGAAAUAGUUGUGCAAAAUCUUUCUUUUCAUCUUUUAAAAGAUUUUCCAGCUAUUGUAAAAUCUGUUUUACAAAACAUCAUAAACAAUGAUGAUUUUUAUUACUAUUUUCAUAUUGAUAUUAGUAGUCUAAUUGGUAUAGCUGAACAAGAAAAAUUCUAUCAGCCGUAUCAAAUUUGGAUUAUUAAAAGGAUGAUUGGAACACCCCAAUUAUCUGCUGUAAAUGAAGAUAAAGAACAUUUGUCAAAAACAAUUGAUAAAUGUUAUAAUAAGUUUGAAGAUUAUCAAGUCCAAACAUGAUUAGAUUUAUUAUCACAAGCCCAUUAUCUUCUCUAUGAUGAAGUCUACAAACUCUGGACGGAUGGAAGAAGAAUUUUGACAUUUCCAAAUGGAAACAUCCAGGAGGAAAGAAAUGAAGAAUCUGUGAAGCUAUUAAAAAAGAUUGUUGAAAUGGAGAUAGAAGAAUUUCCAUCUCACAUUACAGAAAAAAUCAAAUACACAUGGGAGAUGUGGAACUCACCACCAAGACUCUCAUCAGAUUCUUUACAUUUGGAUGAGAUCGAAGAAAUGAAUCUCAACAACAUGCAAGAAGGUUGAAGUCAACAAAGACAGCAACUUGAUAAGAAGGAAAUCCACAUACCGACAACAAAGUUUGGCAACGUGGAUGUCAUCAUCAAACCCAUGAUGGAGACAAAAGAAGACAAUCCAUAUGCAGACAAACAAGUCUUGCAACGUGGAAGUUAUCAUCAAACCAAUGAUGAUGUAAGCAAUGAUGGAAGCUACCAUGACACAAGCAAGUGAUGGAAGCAGCCAUUAAUACAAGCAUGCAACGUGGAAACAACCAGGUCCAUGCAAUUAAAGUUACAAAAGAUGGAGACGUGGAAGCAACCACAUCCACAAAGUAGCCGAAUCCUUAUCAGAAACACUGUUCGGGAUUCAAAAUACAAUUGUAUAGAAUUUUUUAAUUUUCCUCUAUAAAUAGGGAGGAAAGCUCAAUUGUAUAGCAUCUUGUAAAUUCCGCAUUAUCUUUCUUUUAGUUUUCUCUCUUCUGUAAACAUUUUCCUUUUGUAAUAAAGAGUCUAUAAAUAGGGAGGAAAGCUCAAUUGUAUAGCAUCUUGUAAAUUCCGCAUUAUCUUUCUUUUAUUGCUAUUUUUAUAUCUCUUACAAUCAUAUUUGGAAGGAAAUAUCAAGAAGAAAAUCAGCUCAAUUUACUUAACCCGCCUAAGAAUUAAUGUUGAGCUUAGAUAAAUUAAGAACUAAAUUAAUCUUACAAAGUUAAUGAAUUAUGAAUACGAGUUGAAUAGUUUAAGGUAUGUUAGACAUUAUUUUUAGGAAUAUUUAUUUAUAUUUUAUAAGAUUUAACAAGUUUUUCUAUCAAUAUAUGACACUCGGAAUAAAUAUUUGAGUCCAAUUCUUAAGCAUGCAAAUUCAUCAUCUAAACUCCUAAUGAUGUACAAUGACUUGUAAAUAAGGGUGUCAAAGUUUUCUUUAAGUAACAAUUAAUCUACCUAUGAGAUUAGCUAGUUAAAUCGAUUUGUUUUCAUUUUUCAACUAGAAAGAUAAAGGUCUUUGUCACCUUAAAAAUGAAAAUUUGUGAUUUAAUCCCUCUGUAAAUGAUAAAUUAUAAAUUAAUAUAUGAUAAAAUUACAUUUUAAAUUUAAAAUGAAAAAAGAUCUAUUUAAUUCCUUUAAAAAUGAUGAAAUCUUAAGUUAAUACAUUAUAAAAAUUUAUAUUAACCUCUAAAAAAAUUAUAAUUCGAUUCUAACACCUAAUAAGUUUAACUAGAUAUGACCAUAUAUACCCCAACCAUUAAAUUGAUCUUUCACAAAUUCUCGUAGAUAAAAUAAUAUUGCAGAAACCAUAUUAACCAAUUAUUAUAAACACAAAUCAAGCAAAAGGAGUAGCUUAAGUUAAGACCCAUCAAAAACAACGUUUUGGAUCCAAUAGAGAGGAGUAAAAAUCCUCAACAAAAUAUACUAAAGAAAAAAUAAACAAUAGAGAGCUGUUUCUAUACAAGAGGAAAUGAAAAGACACAAGAGAGAAAAAAAAAAAAAAAGGAACCAAUCAAUCAUGGUGAUGAUGAAGAAGAGCUGAGGAUAAGAGUUGAUGGGAUAUUUCAUUAUCGUAUUGUAUGAUUAUUUUUUCCAUCUAUGGGUUUUUUUUUUUUUUAAAAAAACUUUGUUUUACGAAGUGAAAUUCGCUAUACUACAAAAUUCAUGCAUAGAUCUUUCACGUAGACAUGACUAAACAAAGGGUUUUCCUUGCAUAUAGGUACGAUUUUCGUUGUUUUUUUUGGGGGGAGGGCGGGGGGUUAAAAUCAAUCAUAUAAACAGUGGGAGCAAAGGAAAAUAUACUGAAUGACAGUAGCUAAUGGAUAGGCAGACAAGGUGCUGUUGCAGCAAACAAGUAAUGGGGUCAAUACCUAUAUGGGUGCUCUUUGUUGGCUCAAGUUUGGACAGUAAACAUAUACGUUUGUACAUGUAAAUUUUGGAAAUCUAUUAUUCUAUUUUUAGGUCAAUUGUAGCAUACAUCUACAAUAUUGAAUUGGUUUUCAAUUAUAUUUGAGUUUUUUUUUUUAAUUACAAGAGGAGGGCAAAGUCCUAACAGGAACACGUUUUGAACUCAGGCCAUGCUUGAGGUGAUGAACACUCUGAUCAUCAGGCCAACACACGGGAUAAGUUUUGAUGUUGAAUGUUAAUUUGAAUUUAACAUGAAUUAUAGGGUUUGAAUUUUGAUUAAUGAGGAGUCAACAAUGGGUAUUAAUAAUUGAUCUCUUAUGUUGUUGUGAUUCAUAUAUUUUAAAUAUGCUUCACAUUAAAUCAAAACUAAUAUUUAAUGACUGAGCUAACGAAAUGGCUUACUUGAUGUGAUCCUAAUAUUUUAAAGAUUCAAUUAAAACUUUUUACAAUUUAUGAACUAAUUUAAAAUAUGGAUCGCUAAUGUCUUCAUUAGAUGGAGAUAGAGUUCUAAGCUUCAGGUUUAUAAUAGAGUUUAUGUUCUGGGAUGAUCUCCGAUGUUUAAGUCAAUGGAAGAAUGACGAAGAAAGUUUGAAAUAAUGUUGUUAAGUGUAUAUGUAGUGGUAAACAUGUUUCUUCUUUAUCCUUGAGCCCCUAGCUGUGUCUAUAGUCAUUGUUCUUGAAGACAAACGAAGAUUAUAUUUAACUCUUUGUUGAAGAUUAUAAUUAGUUGAAGUAUGCGUCCUUAAUUCGAUAAGAUUAUAUUUUUAACUCUUUGUUGGGUACAUGCAACUUAGUCAUCACAUCGCACAUAUAUAUGCACUUGAGAGAUAUGGGGCCUUCCAAGCUAUUGUUUGUGAGAGCUCGAGGCUUUAGCUCUCGACUAAUAAAACUAAAGUUAUAAUUUGAGGAUCACCGAUGAAUUAAUCAUUUACUUUUUUCAAAUUUAUUAAAAUAUUAUUUUAUAAAAUAAUUAUUUCCAUCCAUUAUAUAUUGAUUUAAAUCAUGAGUUAAUGUCACCUUUGACCCAUAAACAAUGAUAAUCACACGAUUAAUUGUGAUAAUUACUUCUAUAAUUGUGAUGUAUAAACAUAAUGUGAUAUUCUUUAUGGCAAUUUAAAUUCCUAAGAUGAAGUGACAAAUGACAUAUUUCCAUAACAUAGAGAAAAAUACUGACGAUACAAUAUGCAAAUUCCAGUGGCAAACUUUGCAUCAAUUAUUAUAUGACUAUAUUUUUGGUACAAAUAUAAUUUAUAUUACAUUUUAAAAAAUUCACAGAAAUCCAAUUCUCAAUAUACGAUAAUGGUUUUUUUUUUUUUUAAAACCUAGAUUAUUCACUACAUGUAGUAAGGCUUAAUUUUUUUUACAGUAAAUAUUCUCCGAAUAAGUAAAUGAAUAAUCAUAAAAAUUGUGACGCUUUUAUUCCUUUAUUUAAUUAAAAUGGUAAUAUAAAUUUAGAUUAAGGAAUAACUUAUAAGGAUGAUCUUAAAAAUUAAGGUUUUUAGGUAUAAAUCAAAUUUUGUCAUAUCAUCAAAUUUUAAUAUUAUAUACACUCAUCUAUAGAACAAUUAUUUUAUGGACCAUUCUCAGUACCACAUUAUUCAUGGUCCAUUUUCAUUUAUUUAAUAACAUUUUAACAAUUUUUUCCAUGUCAUUGACACAUAAUUUUGGUAAUUUUUUACGUUGAAUCUAGAUUCUCGAACCCUAAACUCAAAACCUAGAACCUCAAAUCCUAAACUCGUAGCCCGUAACCUCAAACCUAAACCUUGAAUCUUGAGAUUUGGGGUUUAAGGUUUAAGGUUCAGGAUUCGAGUUAAGGUAAAAUAAUUUUCAAAAUUAUGUGUCAAUGACAUGGAAAAAAAUUACACAAAAAUUAUUAUUUUUUAAAAAAAUGGUUGCACAAAAAUAAAAAAUGUUAACUUAUGGAAAAAAUGAUUAAAUUUUGUAAAAAAAAUGUUUGUUUAUAAUUUAAAAAAUUAAUUAUUUUAAGUAAUUUAAUUAAAGUUAAAUUAAGUUGGAGAAGAUAUGGGAUAUAGAUAGUGUAUUACAAUAUUUUGUUAUCUUUAAAAUUUAAUGACGUGGUACUAUUUUAUUGGUGCCUAAAAACUAUGCUUUUUAGAAUAAUCCUAAUAUGAUUUAUCCCCGGUACAAUAUCAUAAACAAUAUAUGUAUGAUUAAUAAGUACAGUUACAGUUAUAACCCUAGUAUAAUUACAAUACAAAUUACAAAUAAUAUAUAACCAAUCAAUUUAAUGUAAAAUAUAAUAGACUAAAACCUAAAAUAUUAUCUAGAUUUAAACGAGAAUAAAUAUUAACAAAAUCUAGACAUAAUAAACUUAAAUCCAAAAUAAUCUAAAAAAAAAUCCGUAUCUCAAUUUCUACCAUAGUAUAAAAACUUUAUUAGGUUUUAAAAAAUUAAAUCAAUUAAUUUGCUAUUACUUAAAUAAGUUGAUUAUAUUAGUGUAAUGUAGUUUAGAUGUUGUCCAAUUAAUUAUGAAAGAACAAAUGUAACUUAGGAAAAAUUGUAAGUUUUGAAAAUCUUUGAGAUAUAUUCUCGAUUGGUAAAGGUGGAGAGUUGAAUCAUAAAACUAUGAUUUUAUAUUCUACUCCAUGAGGCCUUUACAACAGUAUAUCAUAUGCUCAAAAUGGUUGAGUGAUGAGAGAAAUUGAUAUUCAAAGCAAGCUACUUGUGAAUAUUUGUUGAGGAAAAGGAAAGCUUGGAUUCCACAUUGGUUAAAUACCAAGUUAAUAUGUGUGUAUAUAUGAGAAUCCACUUGAAAGGUGAUUGAAUGAUUAAACUUGAAACUUUACCUUGCGCGUAAAAAGGGUGCAAAUCUAAACACAUCGGAGUUAGGAUACAUCUGCACGACGUGGGCGACACAAAAUGUCCGAACUGAUCAAGCUAAUAUUGGGUUUUCGAAUAUUUUAGUUCAACAUGAAAUUUAUUUUUCUAAGCAAAUAUAUACAAAAUAUGAUUUAAAAUGACAAAUAUCCUAAUUUUAUUUGAUUUGAUUCCAAUCAAAUUGAUUUAAUUUCUCCUUUAAUACAUAUUUUGAUCUUUAUUUAUGGAUAUUUCCAAAAUUCCUCCAUAUUGAAUGCCUAUAAAAAUCUAAGAAUUCUUUAGAAUUUUUUGGACACACUCUCUCUCACACCAAGUUUAUUUUGCUCUCCAGAAUUCUUCUUUUUUCCUCUCCAUAUUUUCCAAUGUUUUCAGUGAUAGAAGAAGGCAAUGUUUGUUCAUUGAUCACCACCGAGGUACUACUGCUUUGAUCAUCGUCACUACACCAGAACAGGUUUUUAGUAGCGUUUUUUUAGGCCUUUAGCGGCGCUUUUUAACGCCACUAAAGGCAUUUGCGGCGCUUGAAGAAGCGCCACAAAAAAUGCCGCUAACGACAACGUCGCUAACUUUUGCGGCGCUUACAGAAAAAAAACGCCGCUAAAGAUCAUGUUCUUUAGCGGCGCUAAGGAAAAAAACGCCGCUAAAGAUCAUGAUCUUUAGCGGCGCUUACGAAAAAACGCCGCUAAAGAUCAUGUUCUUUAGUGGCGCUUGGGAAAAAACGCCGCUAAAGAUCAUGUUCUUUAGCGGCGCUUAGGAAGAAAACGCCGCUAAAAAUAAUGUUCUAUAGUGGCGCUUUGUCAAAAACGCCGCUAACAGUAGUGCUCUUUAGCAGCGCUUAUUUCACAAACACCACUAUUUGAUAUGACUUUUAGCGGCGCUUUUUUAAAAAACGCCACUAAUUUUGGGAUUUUUUUAAAAUAAAAUUUUCUGUUUUUUUCAGCCCUCCUGCAACAAAAAAUCAAAAGCAACCAGAUCUAAAUUAACCAAAAACAAUAAAUUUAUAUAAUAUUUCAAAUUAAAUGACUAAAAUAAUAUUAAUUGAUAUAAAUAAAAGUGAAUUCAUACUUUUCUUUUCAAAAACGUUAAAAGUUAAAAUGAUAAAAAUAUUUAUGCAAUAUACACUAUGACGGCGGAAGUUGCGACUGCUGAAACAUCUUCAUCAUAAUCUGAAGCUGCUGUUGAAGUUCGUCGUACUUUUUGCUCUGCUCUGCUUCUCUUGAUGCCGCAUCUUUUUGAAGUCGUAGCUGUAGUUCUUCAUAUUUCUUUUGAACCUCUGCUUCUACCGCUGUUUCUCUCGCUGCUUCUCUCGCUGUAACCUCUGCUUCCCUCGCUGCCGCCACUGCUUUAAGUUGUUGCUAAAGUUCUUUAUAUUUCCUUUGAACCUCAAAUGUGGUCGCUUGCAUCUGAGCCAUCUGGUCUUUUAACCUCUGAACUUCAGCUUGAGAUUGACUCCCCGAAGCCAUGUAUUGGUGCGAGCUGGAUCCAAAAUAUUAGGUUGGGCUGAUAAAAGAUCCUUGAAAUCGAACCCGACCAUACUUUUUAGGACCCAAAACUUCAGUAAUGAUCCGGUUAUCAAUGUCUUCAAGAUGAACAGAACUAUCACUAGAAGCAAUCGCUUCGUACUCCGUCUUUUUUUCCUUUAGUUUUUCCUAAUAAAUAAAUCACAUAGUUAGGAACGCAAUAUAUAUUAAAAAAACAAAUGCAAUAUAACAAUAGUCGCAUUACAAGCAAUAAAUUAAACCAUUAUAAAAUAAGCACUAUAAAUAACUAAAACAAGUUAAAUCGUAUUAAGUAAACGUACCAUAAUUUCACCAGCUUCAGGAGUCAUAACAGAUCCAUCUUUCUUCUUAUGUGUAAUUUCAAAAAGUUGAAGGCNNNNNNNNNNNNNNNNNNNNNNNNNNNNNNNNNNNNNNNNNNNNNNNNNNNNNNNNNNNNNNNNNNNNNNNNNNNNNNNNNNNNNNNNNNNNNNNNNNNNNNNNNNNNNNNNNNNNNNNNNNNNNNNNNNNNNNNNNNNNNNNNNNNNNNNNNNNNNNNNNNNNNNNNNNNNNNNNNNNNNNNNNNNNNNNNNNNNNNNNNNNNNNNNNNNNNNNNNNNNNNNNNNNNNNNNNNNNNNNNNNNNNNNNNNNNNNNNNNNNNNNNNNNNNNNNNNNNNNNNNNNNNNNNNNNNNNNNNNNNNNNNNNNNNNNNNNNNNNNNNNNNNNNNNNNNNNNNNNNNNNNNNNNNNNNNNNNNNNNNNNNNNNNNNNNNNNNNNNNNNNNNNNNNUUCUUCAAAGUACUUUUAUUGUCUCUCCAUCUUUUUCCCAAUGCCUUCUUUACAUAAGCAUCCGAGACCUCUAAAGCAAACCUCGCCUACAAAAAACACAAGUUAAUAAAGUACAUAUAAAUGAAACUAUUUCCCAAGCAUUACAGAUGACAUUAAUAAAAUUUGUUACCUUAAUAUUAUCGAGGGCUUGGUUUUUGUUGCUAUCGGGCAUUUGACGCCAUGACUCGUAGUUGAUAGGCAACAUAUUCGCAUUUCGUGCUAAAAUGCCCAUGUAUCCUGCUAAAAGUCGAGCUUCUGAUCCAACAGGCUGACCAAAACUGUUUCUGCAUACCUUGACACGCUCGACUAGAUCUAACUCGUAUAACUCUCUAAGUAGCGUACGUCCUCGACCUCUGCGCGUCCCACCAUUUUCAGCUACAAAUGGUAUAUUAUAAAAUAAAAAUUUGAAGAAUAAAUCAAUUAUAAGUCAACACGCAUGUAAAUUAAAUGUAAAAUUACUUUGAACUUCCGUAGGAUCCUCAGGUGUAAUCGGAACAUUCGGAGAUCCAAUUGCUGUCCGUUGUUCAGUACUAUUUGUUUCUGUCGNNNNNNNNNNNNNNNNNNNNNNNNNNNNNNNNNNNNNNNNNNNNNNNNNNNNNNNNNNNNNNNNNNNNNNNNNNNNNNNNNNNNNNNNNNNNNNNNNNNNUUUCCCUUAUAAUUUUUCUUCUAGGCAUUUUAUCUGCAAUACACAUAAAAUGUAAUUAAACUUAAUAACUAAUUACAACAAUAACAGCACAUAUAAAAUAGUUGAAAUAUAUAAUAAGACCAAGAUUUAAUACUAAUAUAAGUUACAUAUAAUUAAACAAUCGUAAAAUCUUACUACAUCAUUAUUCGUAAAUAUCUUCAUCCGUAUCCUGAAGAACCCAUUGAAAUUGUGCACUAGUACUAGGGAUAUUAUCGUUUAAGUUUUGUCUUGGAAAUGGCAAAGUUUCUGAUCUGUCGUCAAUGUUAUCUCUACUUCCACUGCCCAUGUCAAACAAGUCUCUAGAGAUGUUACGGAGUACAACGUACCAACCCUCAUUAGUUGGAUCUUUUGAGUAAAAAACUUGUUUGACUUGAGAUGAGAAUACAUACGGCUCAUCUAUCAGUUGUUGUCCAGUGUGAAUUAAUCGGUCAAAGUUCACCAUUGUAAAACCAAAUUGAUCUUGCUUGAUUCCACGAGCUGUAUUAACAUCGGCCCAAUCACCUCGAAAUAAGACAACUUUCCAUUUGCCGUAGAAAUCCAACUCAAUUAUGUCAGUAAGAUGUCCGAAAUAUUCCACAUUUCCCUCGACAGGAUUAUUGUCCCUAGCACUAGCAUAACUUAUAAUUGUAGAAUUAACAACUAUUCCACAAUUUUGCGUUCUCCUCAACCUCUCGCAAUAUUUUGUAUGAAAUCUGAAUCCGUUGAUGAGGAACGCACUAUAUCUUUUAACCACUCGAUUUGGACCUUGGGAGAGCCAUUUAACUUCGUCGUCUACGUUCUUCCCACUCCAAACCUAUUGAAUGGAAAGUAAACUGAGUAAUUAAAAAUGUUAUGCGAAAACAUUAUUAUUUGUAAGCGGAAGCUCCAACUGCAUACCGUUUGGCUUAACCAUUCAUAAAAAGAUUCUGUAAACAACUUAUUGAUAUCUCGAUGUUGUGUUCUUCCGGAGCGCGAACGAGAUCUCAAUAUUUGUUUGUACUCACUGUGUUAAAAAAUGUUCACUUUGUUAGAAGAUAAACAAUUAUUAGUUUGAUAAAUAUUUAUCAAAUUUGUAGAACUUACUUCCGUAAAGGUUCCAAUGAUUCAUGGUGAAACAGAACAUAUCGAUGUGCUUGUACCCACGAUAAAUGAUCUAAUUCUGCAAUUUCAACUUUACCGAUUGGUUCUCCAAAACUUUGGAACAAAUAAGUAUCGGCUAAGUUAUGGUCUGCGAGUCCAGCAUUCCUAUUUGGUCUGUUCAACCUUGUUUCAACAUCUUCCAAAUAUCUUGAGUAGAAGGUCAUACAUUUCUCUGCCAAGUAGCCUUCAGCAAUUGAUCCUUUUGGAUAUCACUUGUUGCGGUAGUAAGACUUUAAUUUGGAUAGGAACCUAAACACAAUAUACAACAUUAUCAAAAGAUGUAACUAAAGGCAUAGAGGUGAAUGAAGGAAAAUUUUAAAAAUUUUAACUAACACCUUUCUAUGGGAUACAUCCAUCGAUAGAAAACGGGUCCGCCAAGAAUUGCUUCGUGCAGGAGAUGGAUUAUCAAGUGAACUAUAAUGGUGAAGAAUGAAGGUGUGAAGAUUUUCUCCAUGUUGCAUAAAGUCAAAGCGGCUCGAUCCUGUACCUUCUGAAGUUCUUGAACAUCCAAAACUUUGCCACAAUGGCUUUCAUUAUAUUGAUAGUUCAAUUAUACAAGACGUCACCUUCUUGGACAUACAGAUCGUAGAGCAACUGGCAGUAAAUCUUGCAUCAAGAUGUGAUAGUCAUGUGAUUUUAGCGAAUAUAAUCUUCGAUCUUUAACACUAACACAUCAAGAUAUAUUUGAUGCAUACGCAUCUGGAACCUUNNNNNNNNNNNNNNNNNNNNNNNNNNNNNNNNNNNNNNNNNNNNNNNNNNNNNNNNNNNNNNNNNNNNNNNNNNNNNNNNNNNNNNNNNNNNNNNNNNNNAUGCAAAACAGUUCUUUCACCGUCUUGGACAUUGAGAAAAUAGAAGGUGGCAACCGAUAUUUCCCAUUCGGAAGUGGAUUGGGAUGAAGAUCAGGCCAAAUUCCCAUUUGGACUAAAUCAAGUCGACUCUGAAGAUUGUCUUUUGAUUUUCCGUCGACAUUCAAAAUUGUACCCACAAUGUUCUCGCAGACAUUUUUCUCAAUGUGCAUAACAUCAAGAUUGUGUCGUAAAAGGUGAUGCUCCCAAUAAGGCAACUCAAAAAAAUACUUCUUUUUUUCCACAAGUCCGCCUCAUUAGGAUCAUCAUCUUCAUCAGAGUCAUCAUCAGCUUCAUCAUUUGAUCUUCUAUUUCUUUGUGUGCUUGGCGGUUGGUUCAUCUUCCCAUAAAUGAAAUUCAUAUCUUCCAACAUGAACAAGAUUUCAGAGCCACUGGUCUGCAAAAGAGCUUCUCUGAACUCUUCAGUACUGUCCAAUACGGAACUCUGAAAUCUAAAUCUAUGAUUUUUCGGUAACCACCGACGAUGCCCCAUGUAAGAGAACUUCUUCCCAUUGUACAACCAUUGCGAACAUGUUUGUGCAGCACAACAAGGACACCCAUAACGACCCUUGGUACUCCAACCGGAUAAAUUGGCAUAAGCGGGAAAGUCAUUAAUGGUCCACAUCAAAGCUGUACGUAAAUUAAAGUUCUCCUUUCUCAGCACAUCGUAUGUCUCGACACCAGCCAUAAUUGUUUUAACUCUUCAAUAAGUGGCUGUAAAUAAAUGUCGAUAUCAUUCCCGAGCCCUUUCUCUCCAGGGAUAAUCAUAGAUAAGAUAAGGGAAAAUUGCUUCAUGCAAAUCCACCGAGGCAGAUUGUAAGGAACAAGCACUACUGGCCAAGUACUGUACGCAGUGCUCAUGAUCUUGAAAGGAUUAAAUCCAUCAGAUGCUAGCCCAAGCCUCACACUCCUAUGAUCGCUUGCAAAGCCUGGAAAUUUAUUGUCAAAUGAUUUCCAAGCUAAAGAAUCUGCCGGAUGCCUUAGUAAGUCAUCAUCGGUUCGUCCAUCAUGGUGCCACGUCAUUGAUUCUGCUGUCUUCGACGACAUGAAAAGCCUUUGAAGCCGUGGCAUCAUUUUCAUCGUCGUUCCCAUCUUCUGUGUUUCUACUAAUCCAACGGGAUUGGCCGCAUACAUGACAGCACUGUUGGUUUUUUCGAUCGCCCCAAUACAAUAUGCAGUCAUUUGGGCAACUAUGGAUUUUGUUGUACCCAAAGCCUAAAUCUUUUAUUAUUUUCUUCAUAUCUUUGCAUGACUGAGGGAUUUUUGCAAACAGAAACAUUUCUCUCAAAAACUCUAACAGCAUUGUCAACGAGUUUUCGGUCCAUCCUCCCAAACAUUUUAACUAAAAAAGACGAACACAGAAUGACAUUUUUGAAAAUUUUGAGCCCUCAUACAGUUCUUCGUUCAUGUCAUUAAGUAGCGCGUAGAACUUCGCCGCUUCUCCAUUUGGCUCUUCAUGAGGUACACUACUGGCCGGUUCGGUAAAUGCAGUUCCACUAAUAUUACAAUCAUCAGAUGCCACAAAAUCCGCUGGGAACGACUGCACACCAUGAUUAUGCAUAUUAAAUGCAUCUCGCAACAUACCUUCCAUGUCAUCCCCUCUUUCAGACUGAUGGUAUUUAGCAGUACCAGGAUAAGAUACAUCCAUCCUUGAAGAGGAAGUACUAGGCGAGCAUUCUCCAUGAAAAAAUCAUUGCUUAUAACCCCAAACAAACCCAUCAACAAUUAGAUGCUCGUAUACAACCUCACGAUAAUGCCAGUUUAUGUUGACACACUUCUUACACGGGCAAAGAAUCAUGUUCUCUUGGCUUGCAUAUUGAAAUGCAAAAUUUAGAAAAGUCUCAACUCCGUUUCGAUAACCGUUGCUUACCCUUGACAAAUUCAUCCAAGAUCGGUCCAUAUCUUAAUUCUUGAAGUCUGACAUUGACAAUAAAUUGCACGGGUAAGUUAUGUAUUAUGUAAGCUAUGUAAGUUGUGUAUUAUGUAAGUUAUUAUUAUGUAAGUUAUGUAAGUAAUGUAUUAUGUAAGUUGUGUAUAAUGUUAGUUAUCAAAGUUAUGUAUUAUGUAAGUUAUUUAAGUUAUGUAAGUUGUGUAUUAUGUAAGUUAUGUAGGCUAUGUAUGUUAAAUAAGUAAUGUAUUAUGUAAGUUGUGUAUAAUCAGCUUCAUCAAAGUUAGGUAUUAUGUAAGUUAUUUGUGUUAUGUAAGUUGUGUAUUAUGUAAGUUAUGUAGGCUAUGUAUGUUAAGUAAGUAAUGUAUUAUGUAAGUUGUGUAUAAUGUUAGUUAUCAAAGUUAUGUGUUAUGUAAGUUAUUUAAGUUAUGUAAGUUGUGUAUUAUGUAAGUUAUGUAGGCUAUGUAUGUUAAGUAAGUAAUGUAUUAUGUAAGUUGUGUAUAAUGUUAGUUAUCAAAGUUAUGUAUUAUGUAAGUUAUUUAAGUUAUGUAAGUUGUGUAUUAUGUAAGUUAUGUAGGCUAUGUAUUAUGUAAGUUAUUAUGUUAUUAUGUAAUAAGUUUAUAUAUAAGUUUAUAUUAUGUAAGUAUUUCACUUUUAUGUAUCUUAUUUAUAAUUAUUUUUAAAAUUAUAAAAUUCAUUACUAAUAAAAUUGAAAUGUAGGAUAUUUUUUUUUGAAAGAAAACCCGAAGGUUAAAACUUUAUUUAAUCGCAUCAUUAAGAACAAUAUCGUGGAUUUCCGUCGGAAAAUCCAUGUUAAAGUCCAUACAGCUCUUGUUAAGGUUUGCCCAUUUACACAGGGCAUCAGCAACUCUGUUACAACACCUUGGGACCCAUUUAACCGUAAAGAAAUUGAAACCAACUAUGAACUUCCGAAUUUCUUUCAACUGGUGGCCCAUCAAGGUCAAGUCCUCCUUACUGCUGUUGAAACGGUUAACAAUACUUGCGCAAUCUGACUCAAUCGCCACGCACUUCCAGUUUUUGGAACAGGUGUAAUUGAUACUCACUUCCAUGACAUGCGUCUCCGCCCACUCAAUACUUGAAACAUUGUUAGACAUGCCCACACGCCCCCUAAGAAUGAAACCAUCUGUAUCCCUUUCCACCAGACCGUACAACCCCGUAUUCUCAUGGAUAGUAGCAUCGAAAUUAAUCUUGAUAACUCCUGACUCAGGUUUCUGCCAAUCCCUUUCCACAAUAGGCUUAGGUAUCAUCGGCCUGUCCAACAGAUUAAAGAUACGAAAGUCCCUAUUUAAAGCCGCAGCCCUGUCCCAUGUCACCUUGGCAUCCUCCUCUAUAUUACGAAAAACUUUGAUGUUUCUACUAUUCCAAAUAUUCCAGAUGGUAGAAAUAAAAUCCGACAUAGCCUUCUUGUCCAUCACGCGGGCAGCAUCCUCGAUCCAGUUCACGCGCCGGUCAUAAGUACCCUCGAACAGCUUUUGAUUUGACCCCCCAUAGCGCAGCACUGCCCUGGCACUAGGGCACUCUCUCAAAGCGUGAACAAGGGUUUCCCUCUCAACACCACAUCUCGGGCACAUACUGUUGAAAUCCCUCCGGAUUCGAGAGAUAUUCUCAUAAGUAGGUAGAAUGUCAUGCCCCAGGCGCCAGCAGAAAAGCUUAAUUUUUGGCAAGGUUUGCAGUUUCCAAGUAAGGUUCCAGAAAAAACAGUAGGGAUCGUAGCCCACAUUCUUCAAAGUCAUCCAGGAGUAAGCUGACUUGGUAGAGUAAAAACCCUGGGGAUUAUGAAACCAUAUACGUAAAUCAUCCGGGCCAUUAGGAAGAAAGGGAAUUUUACCAAUAUAGUCCCCCAUAUUCUCCCCAUAGAUCACCUUCACUCUACAUUCGUUCCAUCCAUAUUUGUUACUGUUCAAAAGAUCACACACCUUAUUCUCCUGAACCUCCCUUUUAUCGAUACGGAUGGAAUCACCGGAUAAGCCUUCGAAACCCCAGUUAUCCUUCCAAAUGUCAAUAUUGCAGCCAUUCCCCACCCUCCAUCCAAAGCCCUCCUGAAGCCAAGUGAUCGCCUUUUGGAUACUCCGCCAAGUAAAAAAGGGUUUGUCGACCCACUUUGAAUGAAAUACGUCGCCAUCUGGGAAGUACUUAGCCCUUAAAACUUUGUAACAAAGCGAGUCUUUACACCUCAUAAGCCGCCACACCUGUCUGCCUAAUAAAGCAACGUUAAAACGCCUAAGAUCUCUGAAGCCCAGUCCUCCCAUACCCUUCGGAAGGCACAUCCUUUCCCAGGCCAGCAUAUUCCACCCCCUAUUAUUAUCCUUACCCCCCCACCACACCCUCCGGAUCAAGGACUGAAUCUUAUUAAUGACACCGUCCGGGAUAAAGAAAACCGAGAAGGCAUAGGUCGGGAUCGACUGUAGAAUAAAGAUUUCCUUACCACCAUUAGAUAAGAGUCUCUUAGACCAGCUGUUAAUCCUAUUGGCGACACGAUCAAUAAUAUUCUGAAAGACCAUCGAUUUUUUCUUACCCACCGGGAUAGGCAGACCAAGAUAACCAUCAAAAUUAUCCACCAUCUUCAUUUUCAGCAAUCUGCUUAAGGUUUCGCGAUUCACGUUCGGGGUGUUAGGGCUGAAAUAGAUCAUCGACUUGUCUAAAUUGAUACUUUGGCCCGACCUCUUUUCGAAAGUUUCCAGAAUCUUCAUGACAGCCUUUGCUUUAUGCUUUGAAUUCCUAACAAAUAAUAAAGCAUCAUCAGCAAAGAAAAUAUGAUUAAUACUCGGGCCAUUCUUACUAGCCUUAAUGCCUUUAAUACUCUUAGUCUCUUGAGCAUGGGUUAACAUGCGAGACAAGGCAUCCAUGCAAAAAAGAAACAAGUACGGGAAAAGGGGAUCUCCUUGUCUAAGACCCCUUUUCGGGACAAUAAGCUCAGAGAGGGUCAUAUUGCAUUUAACUCUAUAUCGAAUAGUACAGACACAGUCCAUAAUAAUAUGCACCCACUCAUGAGCAAAACCCAUUUUCAGCAUCACAUUUUUAAGAAAGUCCCAAUCCACCCUGUCGUAGACUUUGCUCAUGUCGAGCUUAACCACACAACCUUGUUCGACCCUUUUUUAGAAUUGUAGAGGUUGUGAACCAAUUCAUGGGCCACUAAGACAUUAUCAUGGAUCAUCCGAUUAGGGACAAAAGCACUCUGGUACUGGCUAAUACAAAGGUGGAGGUUCUCUUUUAACCGGUUAGCCAGCACAUUUGCAAUAAUUUUGUAAACCACCCUACAGAGGCUAAUCGGACGAAAGUUAGACAUAUCACAAGGAUUCUUGAUUUUGGGGAUCAAAACAAUUAAGGUUUCAUUGAUACACUCGGCGCUUCUGUUGCCUUUAAGGAUAGAGUGACACAGGCUCAGCACGUUUUUCCCAACGGUAGACCAAUUUUCCUUGAAAAGCUGCCCAAAAGCCCGUCGAUACCAGGGGCCUUACGAGGGUCCAUUUGGUUGAAAGCCUUAAUGAUUUCACCUUCAGUGAAGUCGUCCAGCAGUCUCUUGUUAACGUCCUCGUCAAUACACCUAGGGAUCAAGUGCAUGUCACUAUCAUUCCCCUCAUAAGUCGGCGAUUUAAACAAAUUAUCAAAAUAAUUCUAAGCAAUCUGACAAAUCUCCUUCUUAUCCACGUGCCACACGCCCUGCUCAUCUUUAAUUCUGUCAAUUCUAUUCUUUGAUCUGCGACUCGACGCCCUUACAUGAAAGAAGCGGGUAUUCCCAUCCCCCUCCUUCAGCCACUGUGUCCGCGCCCUCAUGGCCCAAUAUUUCUCUUCCACCUCAUAGAGAUAGCCCAACUUACUUCUGGCUAUUUUCAGGAGACUCGUCGAUCUCUCACUAAUCUGGCCGUCCAUAAGAAUACUAAUUUCCUUCUCCAAUCCUUUGAUGUUGUUUUUUAACUUUCUGUACCGAUUAUACUGCCACGGGCCAAACUUGUCUUUUACCAGCUUCAUCUUGUCCACCGCAUUGCACCCCUCCGUUGACCACGCCUUAGAAAUAAUGUCCUUAGCUUCCUGCUCCUUUGCCCAGCAGAUGUCGUACCUAAACCAACCUCUAGAAACAUAACCCUUCUCCUUAGGCUUGUUGCCAUGCAGAUCCAAUAAGAUAGCCUCAUGGUCCGACUUAGACUGGCGCACAAUGCUCGAGGUAAUGUACGGCAUCUUCUCGAUGAUAGUAUCCGAAAUGAGAAAUCUAUCCAGCCUUUCCUUAAUAACCCCAGUACCCUCUCUAUUAUUAGUCCACGUAAACCACCCGUUAUUGGUUUUGACAUCACUCAGGUUUAACUCUUCCAUAAUACCCCAAAAGUUAUCCAUCACACUCAUAGGCUUUCUGCGGCCCCCUUCCUUUUCCGAAUUGUUAAGGAUAGCGUUGAAAUCCCCACCAACGAUCCAACCUUCGUUAACCUUUAUCUUAACCUUCUUUAACAUAUCCCAUGCAAGGUGCUGAAGAGUGGGGUUAGGGUGGCGAUAGAAACCAGUGAAACGAAUAACCUCGCCAUCGACCAGUUUAAUCAGCGAGUCUAUGUAGAACUUGGAGUAAGUCUGGAUUGUAACAUCAACACCCUCCCUCCACAUCAAAGCCAGACCACCGCUAUUUCCCUCAGAACUAACAGCAAGGCAACCACCCAUCCUACACCUAGACUGAAUACGAGAAAACUCGUUAGCAUGAAUUUUUGUUUCACAUAGAAAGAUAAUGUCGGGAACAUUCGCAACCAGGAGUUGCUUCAGCUCUCGAACUGUCGCUGGGUUCCCGACCCCGCGACAGUUCCAGCAAAAGAUUUUCAUUGCUCUUGGCGGGGCUGGUCACCAGCCGCCGCCUCUGAUGGUGAAAUAGGUCCAGCAAGCCUUCUUUUAACUUGUCUCGCUGGACUUUCAAUCCAAAAAUAACCCUGUAAACACUUUUGUCUCCUUCUCUUACUUUUCGACUUUCCAUUCCCCUCCUUAAGCUGUUUGUACUUUCUACUUUCCAUAGGGGAGGUAGAUAGAGAUUCCUCCUCAAGCACCCUUUCUCUUCCGUCCAUACUUGGUCUCCAGCUUUCAUUGCUUGAUCUAGUCAGACUUUCCUCCUUAUUUUCCUUCAAUUUUACCAUUGAUUUAAACUCUUCCACCCCAUUUCUUCUCAUUCCCUUAUCCUGAUUUGGGGUCACAAUGGGUGCCUUCAUCCAAUUUUCAAAUUGAAGAUUCGAGUUCAUCAUUCCGCCCUUCAUCGCAUUGUUCGUGCACACCUUCAACGUAUGCCCUAUGAUCCCACACGAGUGACAAAAAUCUAGAAGUCUUUCAUAUUUUAACAGACUUAUUCUUUCAUUGCCAUCUUUAUCAGCAAAUUUUACGAUUCUUCUCAGUGGUUUUGACACAUCAAUCUUGACUUUUAGUCUCAUGAAUUCUGUCCAACUCCCAAAUCUGUCCUUCCAAUCGAUUGCCACCAGCACACCAAUUGUAUUACCGACAUCCAAAGCUGUUUGACGGUCCAUGAGUUCUAUAGGGAUGUUGUAAAUUCUCACCCAGAAUGGUACAAAUUGGAAUUCAUAGGAUUCUAACUCCUUUCCUUUCUCGAAAGGAAGCAACGAGAAUAAACACCUGUCAAAAAGCCAUGGUGAGAGAUUUAAAAUACGGCUACGGUCCUCCUGACAUCCGAACUUCACAAUAAUCACCCCAUCUUUCAGAGCUACGAAGUCAACUUCCUCUUUUGUAAACCAAAGCGACUUAAGAACCCUGUACAUCGCCUCCCUGUUUGGUAGUUCGGUCGCCAUGAUCUUUCCCAUUGCCCAUGCCUUCCAGCUUUGAACCCUAUCCGCUACUCCUGUAUUAACAACCAAGGAAGAUUCUUCCUCCGAAAAAUUUAAUUUUCCUAACAGUUCUUUAAUUUCUUCCAUCAAUAAUACAAGAACGAACACUGGCUUUCCCUCCAAGACGUUCAGCCACAAAAGAUCCAAGAAAACACAAAAUAAGCAGGAAAACUACGAUAAUAAACUUUUCAUGCAUGACACACCAACGGCUCUACGUAAGUAAAAACUCAUUAAAAAGAGAAACUAGUGGACCCCGCACGGGCCCACAAAAAGAAAAGACGACCCUAAACAGUAAAAAAAAGGAAAAAAUGGGACACAGGACACAAGAAAACAACAAUCAAAAAGAAAAAAACAAAAAAAGAGAAAGUGGUUAAGACAAGAAAGCACCGCAAGAACACCCAGAAAAGCACCCGGAGAAAGAGGGAAAUCAGAAAGUGGUUAAGACAAGAAAGCACCGCAAGAACACCCAGAAAAGCACCCGGAGAAAGAGGGAAAUCAGGUCCGAGUAAGAGGCGUCAAAACACGUCACAAGACACCAGCACCCAAACAGCAACCCCCACUUGACACCAGGAGAAGCAGACGAAAUCACCCAGUCAAAGCAUCUCCCUCAGAAACCUCCUAACUGCCAUAAUAUUCAAGAGAAUAAGGCAGACGCUUGAAAUGUAAGAUAUAUAUCCAUACCAUAUAUNNNNNNNNNNNNNNNNNNNNNNNNNNNNNNNNNNNNNNNNNNNNNNNNNNNNNNNNNNNNNNNNNNNNNNNNNNNNNNNNNNNNNNNNNNNNNNNNNNNNUUUUAAGUAAUGUAAUAUAUUUAAGUAAUGUAAGUUAUAAAUUUUUGUAAGUAAUAUAUUUAAGUAAUGUAAUAUAUUUUAGUAAGUAAUGUAAUAUAUACUUUAAUCUUAGUAAGUCAUGUAUUUAAGUAAAUUCUAGUAAGUAAUGUAUUUAAGUAAUAUAUUUAAGUAAAUUUUAGUAAUUAAUAUAUUUAAGUAAUGUAAGUUAUAAAUUUUAAAAAUAUAUAUAUUAAUAAUUCAUUGACAUUCAUUGACAAUUCACUGACAGUCAAUCAAUUAAUCGAUCAAUUUGCCAAAUAAUCAUAGAUUAUUAAACAUUAACAUUCAAUCAAUUAAUCACAUCUAACGUCGAUAAUUUAUUCAUUGACAUAAAAUCGAAAAUUGAUAAUUUAUUCACAUUAAACCGAAUAAACUAAUCGCCCAUAAUUUAUUCAAUUACUCAAAUAUAAAAAGUGAUUUAAGAAUCAUAAUCUGAAUUUUAAUAAUUUGCGUAAUUUUUUUUCUUGGGUAAAUGAUACGUACAAAAAUAACAAGCAUAAUGUAAACCUCGCAAUUAUGUAAUAAGCUGCAAAGUUACACGCAAAUUGAGCUAGCAACAUAUAAAGCAAAUAUGAUAAUUAAAACCGAUACCCACAGCUUUAAAACCAAAAAUCUUAAUUAAAACUCCGUUUUAAAACUAAAAAAUAAUAAUUAAACGAUAAAGCUAAAAUAUAACCAAAUCCGAAAUUUAAACAUUUGGAGCUGUUUUUUUUAAGAAAACUAUCUAGGGAAACAUAGAAAUAAAUACCUCAAAUUUCCUCAACUUCGAAGCAACUUCUGCAAAAAAAAACACACACACACACAGACAAGUAAAUUAGUACCAACAAAACAGAAAAAAAAUAACAGAAGGAAACAAAAGAAUAUUUAACUAAAUUAAGAUUCAAAUCUAAAUUUGAAUUUUAAUUAUCACAACAAUCAGAACAAUACAUAAAGACCAAUGCAGAACAGGACUCAAUAUUUCUUCAGAAUUACCGUAUGAAAUAUUUCCAUAUCAAAUUCACUUCAUUAUUAAUACCAUACUGCAAUAUCAAAUAUUUAACAACUUUGAUUCAGAUGAAAUAUCUAAUAUCAAAUUCACAUCAAAGAACAUUUGACAGUAGCCUCAAUUUAGGAUCUAACCAACCAUUCUUUUACAAAUUAUGAACAGUUGACAGUAGCUAAGCUACUGUCUACAGCCUGUCUACAGUCAGAAUUUCGGCAAAUUGCAGCAUUGAGUCUCAUAACCAACAAGAUAUAAUUAGUUACAUUUAACUAAAUAUGAAAAAAAUCUAUUAUUAAAUAAUAUAUGUUGCUAUCGCAAAACAAGGUAGAAAACAGAACAGCUAUUUGCAUAUUCAUUCAGAAAAUCUAGCAAAAUAGACUAGAAAACAAAUCCCAAGAAUUAAUACAAGAUAAUAUUCUUCAAAUAUAUGAUUUUUUUUAAAAAGGCAUACACAUUCCAUUAUCUCCACAAUCGUGGAUCACCCAAAAUCCAAGUAAAAUAAAUAUUAAAAGGCUUUAACAAAUGUACUACAAUUCAUCAAGUUAUACACUUUGAACUCUUGGAGGGACCAAACUUACCUAAAUACGAGCUGAUCAAUAAGGGAGUAUGAGUAUGAAAAUAUGAAUUUCUAAACAUUUUUCAAAUACAUAAAACUUUAAAAAUAUAAAAAUACUCAAGCAUUCGAUCCUUACACUAGAAUCCAAGAAGCAUAGAUUAAAACCGGUGUUUAUUUUUUCCUUUCUAACAAAAUCCUAACCAAAUAACUCACAUUUAUAAUCAAACCCUAAAAAAGCUGGGCUUAAUAAAUCAUAAAAUAAAUAAAAUACCAAUAAAACAUAAAGCACAGCAAUCAUUUGCUCAUAAGAACAUAACUAAAAAUUUAAAGAAAAAGAAAAGCGAAAUAAACAAAAUGAAGGGAGAAACACGCUUCGAAGAUCUAAAAACGGAAGAGGUAGCGACGACGAGAGAAAAUACGAUGAAGAAAGAAGCUAAGACUCGUUGGACUUCUCUAAUAAGUAGAAAACAAACACAGAAGAUCGAUACUUUUUCCCAAACCCUAGACAUGCAGAAAUCCCCAAAUUCCCAAACAAACUGGUUCAAGCUUGGUGAUUGAACUUGGUAUUUAAACCCCAAAUUCCAAAAUUACACUGAAGCAAAACCCUAAAUCAAGAUACAGUGUUUCGAAAGAAAAAACGCUUACCUUUUAACAACAAAUUCCGCAGCUUUGAUAGUAUCCUAUGAAGAUUGACUAAACCUUUGCUUCGUUUGUGAUGAUUUCUGAGUUCUCCUCUCCCUUUUUUUUUUCUUUGUAUUUUUUCACGAUUUCUGGGGAAAAGUUGGGGGGGCCUUUUUUGGGGAGAAAAUACGUUUUUCGGCUAAGUGUUGGGAUGAAAUAUAGAAUGAACAAUUGCGGCGUUUGUAAUAUAGCGCCACUAAUGCCGUUAAUGUGGUAGAUAAACGACAGCGUUUUUUUAAAACUGGAAAGCAAAUUUGCGGCGUUUCCGCAUAGCGCCGCUAAAACAUACCUUUACUGGCGCUUUUACAAUUGCGCCGCAAAAGCCAGUAAAUUCCCGAACAAAAACUACAUCGUUUUGCCCAAACUAUUCAUAAUUUUUUGCGACGUUUAUGAAUAAAACGCCGCUAAUGCCCAUUUUUCUGGCGUUUUUUACAAAAACGCCACUAAAAAAUUAAAUUCUUCUACUGAAACGGCACCAUUUUUUAGAAAUUUUAAAACAUUGUUUUUUUUAAUUCAUAUUUAAAAAACACAAUAUAUAAUUACAAAUUGCGGCGUUUACGAAUAAAACGCCGCUAAUGCCGUUAAUAUGCCAUAGAAAACGACAACGUUUUGAUUAAACUACAGAGCAACUUUGCGGUGUUUUCUUCCUAGCGCCGCUAAUUCCCAACUUUAGUGGCGUUUUUGCCCUUGCGCCGCGAACGCCGUUAAAUUCCCAGCCAAAAACUACACCGUUUUUACCAAAUUAUUAAUAACUUUUUACGGCGUUUUUGCUCAAAAUGCCGCUAAAUCUCACAUCUUUUUAUUUUUUUCUUUCUUUCUUCUAUGUUUCAUUAGAAUUUUAAUUAAUUAAUUAUUAAAAUUUUAAGUAAUGUUUAAAAGUAUUUCAUAAAAUUAUAAAUUUUAGUUUUUUUAUUUCAUUUUUAUUUUUUUUUAUUUUUUCAUAUAUUUUGAUCCUAUCCAAAUUAAAUAAGUAAUUACUUAUAUAUAUAUCCAUAUAAAAAAUAUCGAAUUGUUAAUGUUAAAUAUUUUAAAUAUAAAUUUUAGUAAUUAAAUGUAUCAUUUAACAAGUCUAAAAUAAACCAAAACCCUAAUUUAACCAUUCGGCCGUAUACAUGCAUAUAUAAAAUAGAUCUCUCUCUCUCUCUUUAUAUAUAUAUAUAUAUAUAUACAUAUAUAUAUAUCUAAUUAAUUUAAUAAUAUAUAAACUAUAUAUACAUCUUUGAAAUAUAUCUUAAAUGAUCACUGAACCUCCACCAAUUGUAGGAUUCUUGACAUGUGCUAUCGGUGCCCUAGGAACAUUGCCAAAAUACCGAAAGGGGGCAUCUGCUAGCUUCCAACCCUCGAAAUCCCGUCGUUCAUCAAUAAAUAUUUUUAGAACGAUCAUUUCUACUAUAAAUUAGAAGGCUGAACCAGAUUUUGUAGAGUAGUGACAAAAAUUUGGAGAAACAAAAUCGGAUGGUCACUACUUAAUAUUAAAUUUAUUAUUAUAUAUUUUACAAACAUAUAAGAACAUAUUUAAUAUAUAAAUUAAUAAAACUAAUUAAUCUAAUCAACCAUGAUCCCUAACUUGAGUACCCUUGACACCCUAAACCCUAAAUCCCUAACCCCUAACCCUUAAAUCUCCUAGCCCCUAAAUUCCUAACCCCUAACCCCUAAAUUCCUAACCCUUAACCCCUAACCCCUAAAUCUCUAAUCCUUAACCCCUAAACCUUAUAUCCCAAACCCUAAUAGAGUACAUCAUUCAACUGAAACGACGCCGUUCUGACAGAGUUUCAAGAAUAUUAGCGGCGCUUCCCUAUAAAACGCCACAAUAGAAACUGAUUCCCUAACACGUAACGACGUCGUAUAUUGCAAUAUUUGUGGCGUUUUUGACUAAAACGCCGGUAAAGGCUACCUUUUGCGGCAUUUUUAUAUAGAAACGCCGCUAAAUUUCUCUUCUUUUUUUUGUGUCUUACAUUUAAAUAAUUAAUUACCUAUUUAUUUAACAAAUACAUAAUUACCUACUUAUUUGUUUAUUUAUUUAUACCAAGAUUAUUUUGGUCCUAUAUAUCCUAUAUAUACAAAUUAAAUAAUUAAUAACUAUAUAUAUAUCCAUAUAUAUCAAAAANNNNNNNNNNNNNNNNNNNNNNNNNNNNNNNNNNNNNNNNNNNNNNNNNNNNNNNNNNNNNNNNNNNNNNNNNNNNNNNNNNNNNNNNNNNNNNNNNNNNNNNNNNNNNNNNNNNNNNNNNNNNNNNNNNNNNNNNNNNNNNNNNNNNNNNNNNNNNNNNNNNNNNNNNNNNNNNNNNNNNNNNNNNNNNNNNNNNNNNNNNNNNNNNNNNNNNNNNNNNNNNNNNNNNNNNNNNNNNNNNNNNNNNNNNNNNNNNNNNNNNNNNNNNNNNNNNNNNNNNNNNNNNNNNNNNAGAAACCCUAUCAUGACCGUCUAAACCCUCCGACCAAACCCAAAAAAUUCCCUAAAUUAAUAUUCUUUAAUAAUCACAAAAUAUAGUGAAAAUCUAUUAAACAACAAGUUAUAUAUAGUUAAAAAUGUUGUACAAAGUUGAAAUAUGCUAGCAAUAUUAUCUUUAUGACAAAAAUUUUCGUAUGGAUCUAAAUAUAAGUUUUUAUCAUUUUUGAACUUAAAUAUCGAUAUUUUUGCAUCUGGUAUUGCUAUAGUCAUAUGUAUCAAAAAAAAUCACCGACGAUAGGGUUAAAUGUUUUUAAAUAUACAAGAUAAUUAAUUGUAUCAUUUAACAAGUCUCAAAUUAUAAAUUAACCAAUCAAUCGACAUGCAUAAAGUGAUCAUGAUCUACCUAUUAUAAUAGUCUAUAUAUUAAAUUUAUUCUGGAUCUAUUUUACAAAUAUAUAAGAACAUAUAUAUUAACCAUAAAAAUUAAUCAAAAACUAAUAUUAAUCUAAAUUAAACCCUAGCUAACAUGACCGUUGAAACCCUAAAUCCCAAACCUUAAAUCUAUACCCCGUACUCCUUAAAAUACCGUCCAUAAAAAAAUUCCCUAAAUCUUUAAUAUAUAUAAUCAUAAAAUAUAGUCAAAAUCGAUUAAACAAUAAUUAAUUGUUAAAAUAUAUUUUGUAUAAAUUGGUGUUUUAUAUUAAUUNNNNNNNNNNNNNNNNNNNNNNNNNNNNNNNNNNNNNNNNNNNNNNNNNNNNNNNNNNNNNNNNNNNNNNNNNNNNNNNNNNNNNNNNNNNNNNNNNNNNUUGAUUUAUUUAGUCGAACAGUACUACCAAAAUUUAUUACUCUUAUAAAAGUUAAUUCUAUUUUUAAUUUAUUCUUUACAAUACAAAAAUUUAAGUUUUAUUAUUAUAUUUUAUUCAUAAUUUAAUAUAUUUUCUCUCGUAAAGUAGUUUAAAUCAACUGUGAUUGAAAAUUAGUAAUAAAUAGUUAGCUGUUAUAUAUAUAUACGACUUCUCUUUAAUAAAAACUUUUUGUAUUAAUCAAUAUUAUUUGUUAAUUAUAAUUUAAAUGUAAAUUGUACCACUAUAUAAUAAAUAGAACAAAAUAUUAAUUAUUUCAACUUAUAAGAUUUUUGUUACUAUUAGUGGCGCUUCGGCAAAAACGCCGCUAAAGCUAAAUGCAUUAGUGGCGCUUAGAUAAAAACGCCGCUAAAGGCCAGAGAAUUAGCGGCACUCAGAUAAAAACGCCGCUAAAUAUCCGAGCAUUAGCGGCGCUUAGAUAAAAACGCCGCUAAUUCCUAUUUUUAGCGGCGCUUGGUGGAAAUCGCCGCUGAUGCUCUACCUUUAGCGGCGCUUUGGCUAAAUCGCCGCUAAUGCUCGAUUUUUUGUGGCGCUUUUGUUCCAAACGCCGCUAAAAGUGCCGCUAAAAGCCUAUUCUGGUGUAGUGCGUGUUGUUGUAUCCUAUGAGAUAGUCGAUCAACGUUUCUCCAAGUAUCGUAAGAACAGUCAAAUCUGUCUUUAGGAAACUAUGUAAAACAAGCCUCAACAUUUUAUAAAACUCGAUUCUUUAUUCGAUUUCUGAUUUUUCAUAAUCAUAUUUAUUUAAUUUAUUUUUCAUAUUUGGUAUUUUAAAUAUAAAUACUUAUUUUAUUUUAUAUAAAUAUUUAUUUAUAUUCAUAUUUUUUGACUAACUAUUUUGUUACAUUCAGUCACCACAACAUGUGAAUAUUUAUGUCUAAAUACAGUAAUGUUUUUAAUAAAAAGAGAUUGAGCAAAUCAACCGAUUGAUAUUUUAUUAAAACUUUUUUAUUCUUAUUGCAUGUUCUAUAAAGUCACAUUUUUCGCUUUUAGCUGUGAGUUGCAUCAGGUCUAUUAUUGUGUGACGUGUUAUUUCACAUGUUAUUUAUCAGUUAAUAAUACUUAUAAUAAAUUUCUUAACGGAUUUACAGAAUAUAGAUGAUUAGUUAUUAGGUUCGUUCGAAUAAUUACUUUAAAAAAAUAUGUCGUUAGUCCUCAUACUCUAUAGAAUUUAAAACUUAAUCCUGUUAAAAAUUUACUUAUCUUACUUUUUCAAUUAAAAAAUCCUAGUUCAAUCAUUUUUGUCGUUGAAAUCUAUUAGUAUAAUAUGUUUAUUUUUCGUCAAUCAUAUACCAUGUUGCUUAAAAGGCAACCUAAUCAAUAUAGCAAAUUAACAAAUUUUUUGGAAAAUAUUUACAAUUUUAAUGAUUGUCUUGGAAUUUUUAAAUAAAAAAUAUAUGAACUAAAACUUAAAUUUUAUCAAAGUAGAGGGACUACAUAUUUUAACCAAUAGAUAAUAUUCAUACCAAUUACAUUACAAGCAUAAGUGAUGAAAAUUUGAACAAAGCGAAACUAAUCCGAAAAGGAGUUAAGAUCCGCUCUUACUUUUUCAUUUAUUAAUAUUCAAUACAAUGAUCAUCGCCAUUUAAAUGUGUAAGACCCAUGUAGGACUCAUCUAUUAAAAAUAAAAAUCAACAUGUGAACGAUGAUUAAAUAUGCAUGGAUAUUAAUGGAUAAAAAAGUAAUAGAGUGGAGUCAAACCUUUCGAAUAGAACAAGACAAAAUCGACACAUAUUGAAAAUGGGACCCACAUAUCGCAAUUAUAAAUUGUACGACUUGAACUUGGACCUUCAAGGUUUGGAACCUUAACGUUUGCUAACUACGUUAAGGUCUCAUUGGUUAUAAUUGACAUUAUUUUUAUUUGCUCACUUUUAAAUAAUAGGUUUAUAAGUUUAAAAAAGCCCUUAAAAUGUAAAAAAAAAUAAUUAAUUAUUAAGCUCCUAUACUAAAUUCACACUCAAUUAAGCCCCUACCAUUAAUUAAAAUAAUCAAUUAAGCCCCUCCAUCAACGAUAUUGUCAUUGACCACGUUGACCGUUAAAAUAAAUUGAUAGACCAAUCGGAUGGUAACACGUAAUAGCUUCUAGUUUAAUCUAAUAUUUUCUCAUAAGAAUAUUAAAAAAUUAGAAUAAAAAUUAUAAAAAAUAAAAUUAUUAAUAUUAAAUUUAUAUAAACUUCUAAAAAUUAUAAAAAAUAUAUAAAAAUAAUAAAUUAUAAUAAAAUUAUAAAUUAUAAUAAAAUAAUAAAAUAUUUUUUAAAAAUAUUUAAAAUUUUAUAAAAAUUUUAAAAAUCAUAAAAAUUUGAAUUGGACCGGAUCAGUUUAUUGGACAGAUUAGACUGAAAUUGACAAAGAUAUCGGUACAGAGAAAGUUAUUAAACUGAUUAACUUAGGAAUUGGACAAUUGAAGCGAUUUUUUAUUUAUUUAAUGGAACCGGAUGGAUCUAUCGAGCUGAUAAAUUAGUGAUUUAAUCGAUUCGGCUAUUAGUCCGAUUUUAAAAACUUUAAUUAGAAUAUUUCAUUUUGAUAUAUAAUAAUGGUUAGAAAAAGAAAUUUUGAUACGAUAAUAAAAUUUUAAAAAAUCAUUAAAUUACCGAUCACCGACUUUAACAUAUGGGUGUUGACAUUUGACAUGUGGCCUAAUUUGGGGGGAAAAAAGUGAAUAAUUUUUGUUUGAUGUUUCAAAUAAUGAGUUUAUAAUACUUACCACCUCCCGAUGUUGAGUUCUCUUCCAAAUUGACAGCGAUUGAUGCGGCCAACUCAGACAGAACGACACAGUUUAAUAUCUGUGUGCUUUUCACGCGCUUUUAGGAGUGUGAGCAAAAAUAGAAAGAGUGAGAUUGGCAGAGAGAUGAUGAGUUUAAUUUGUCUAAUAUAUUUUUUGUUAUCUAACUAUAGUAUAAAUUCUAAAUUGGUCCUCAAAUUUUAAAAUAUUCUAAUUGAAUCCUUAAACUACAAUAGCAUAUCAAUUAUGUCUAUGUCAACCUAGAAAUUAGCUUAAAUGUUAUAUUUAAAAUAAUAGAUCAAUUUAUAAAAAGACAUAUUACAGUUUGAAUUCAUGUAUUUUAAAUCAAUUGACAUUUAUUGUCUAAAUCGACUGAAGGAUUUGGUUGAUAUAAUAUUAGUACUUUGAGUUAAUUGAGUCUUAGUUCAGUUGAUAUCGAUAUUAUUGUUAGUGUAGGAGGACAUGGGUUCGAGUAUGCUAAAGUUCAUUUAUCCUCUUAUUUAAGGAUUGGAUGGGAUUAUGAAUAGUUUUAGGUAUUGUAUAAAAAAUAUUAAUAUUUUGAGAUUUAUUUACAAUUGGAUCCAUGUAUCUUAAAUAUUCUUCACAUUAGAUCUAAACUAACAUUUAAUGUUUAAAUUAACGGCUAAGUUGACAAAAGUUUUUUUUUUGGGGGGGUUGAGAUAAAAAGCUUCGAUUCAUACAAUAUAUACUUUGAUAUAUGAGUGCAGAGAGGGAGGCAUGCAAAGCCCUAGCCCCUCUAAAAUGAAAAUUUAUUGAUUUAGUCCCCUAAAAUUUAUAAAAUCUUAAGUUAUAUUUUACCUCGUCCCAAAAUGCUAAUAUUUUGAUCUAGUUCUUUUGAAAACCAUAAAGAUAUAAGUUAAUAUAAGGAUAAAUUUGUAUUUUAGCUCUUAUAAAAAAUAUAACUUAAUCUCAGCCCCUAAAAAUAUAUAAGCUAAUAUUACGAUUGGGUCCACGUGUUUUAAAUAUUAUUCACAUCAAACUUGAACUAGUAUUUAGCAUCUAAAUUGACAAUUAAGUUAACAGAAGGACUAAUUUAAAGUCUAAUCAAUCCUUUAAGGACUUUUGAUUAAUUAAUCAUUUUUAGCUAAAGAAUUUUUACACAAUUACCCAUGAUGGAUUCUCGAUCGAUCUAAUGUAAAGUUUUAAUCUUUAACUUAUAUAUUCAACUAAAUUAAUAAUUUUUAAUAUAAAAAAUACAAACUUUAAAUGUAAACAAAUUAUAUAGACAUUUAAUAAAAUGUAGACACUUUUUAAGAAGCACUCCAUAUGAACAUAUAUGUGGUGUUGAAAAAAGGCACUGUUUCCACAUUUCCAGAUCCAAGUUCAUUCAGCCACCGACACACAAAGUUUCCUAAUCUCGAAGUCAAGUUUUUUUCUUUCUUCUUUAAAAUUUUCCUGGAAACUUAACCAUUCUCGGGAUUUCCCAAGAAAAGUUAAAGUCUCUCCUUCGUUAGUUUUAGUUUCCUUUUGGGGGAUCAUUUGGAUUCUGGGUAAGUGUAUCAAUGCUUUCUGAAUUUAAUUUUCAAGUAUUAAAAAUGGGUUUGCUUUAAAAAUGCAAGCUGUUGAUCUGUUUCAGAUUAUAAUCCACUUUUCGAUCCUGCAUUUUAUUCCUUUUCCACUACCAUUACUGCAAAAAAAAAAAAAGUUGCUGUUUUUUUCUUUUCUGUUUUUGUGCUUUAUUAAUAGUGAUCUUUGUAUUUUUGUUAGCUUAAGGUCUAAUAUUUACUUCUUCUUUUUUUUUUUUUUUGAAUUUUCUCUUUGGAUUGGAUUAGUGUAAUUGUUGUUAUUAUUAGUAUGCUGGGAAGUGAAAAGUUGAAUUGAAUAUCAAUGAUUUUAAGUUUUGUUCAUAAUAAACUACUACUUGAAUAUUUAGUUCAUGGGUUGAUCUGGAUUUUUCAUUGCAUAAACACUGUCGAUUUGAUUUUUUGCAUUAAUUUCUUUCAUAUGAUUCAUUUUCGGCUUUAUUGCAAACUUCUAGUUGAUGAAAUGUUGUGGUAUUAUUAAGUUGAAUUAUAUGAAUAUGUCGGAUUUUGAAGAAUUUCGAUGUUUUUCCGAUGUUUUGCCGACAGGUUAAAUCGAAAGGAAGUCCGACAUGUUCCGGCUUUCACCUGGUAGGAACCAAAGAUCGAAAGGAUUGAAGGUGAAGCAUGCUCUACAAAUAUGUGUUCUUGUUGGUAUUUGCAUUUGGCUGCUUUACCAAGUUAAGCACUCCGGGGAGAAGAAAGCGAUUUAUGAGAAAUCUGGGAGCGAUGUUGUCAAGUUGGGGCGAAAAGACUUCCCUCGAUCGGAAGGGAUGACUGUUACAGAUGCACGGCAUAAGGAGGAAGAAGAGGAAGAAAGUAAGAAUGGAGAAGAAGAUAAUAAGCCUGAGGUAACCGAAGAUGAAGGAAAUGGGGAAGUCGGUGGGAUGCAUGAGCAUGAUAAUGAGAAACCCGAGGAGGGAACCGAGCAUGAAGAACGUAGGAACGACGAUAACGAAGAGACUAUGGAAAAUGAAAACAAAGGAAAUGAGGAGACUCGUGAAGGCGAUAAUGAAGAGAAAGAGAACAUCGAGGAUAGUCGAGAAAAGGAAAAUAAAGGGAUUGGGGAAGAGAGCAAUGAGACGGAGAAGAGUGAAGGUGAGAUAGAGAAUGCAGGUAGCUCGGAUGAUCGGGUUCGUGAUGGAAUUGAUGGGAAUAAUGAAGAAGCGAGAGAAGAACAUUACAAGGGGGAUGAUGCUUCAAGUGAAGUAGUCCAUGACACCCAAAAUGAGACGAGUGGUUCAGAAAAUUCCAACGAGGCUGAGCAGUUGGAAAACAAAGAUAAGAAUGACCGGGAGGACGAAACAAAUAGCAGUGAAGCGGCCAAUGUCGGUCAUGAAGAGUCGAAUGUGCAAGAAAAUGGAACAGCUGAAAACAAUCAAGAAAGCAGUAAUGGGAGUAACGAAGCCAAGUCUAAAGAAGAUGCACAUCCCGAUACAGCUACGGAAUUGAAUGAGAAUCUGACAGAUACAACACACAGUUCAACCGAGAAUGUAAAUGGUAUGGUUCAGCUAUCUGAGAAAUCGGAUUCAGGUGGGAAUGACGAGCACUCGGAUUCAAAUACAACCCCUACUUCAACUGAGAAUGGGGAUGGAGCUAAUGGAGGUUCUACAAGUAAUUCGGAUUCCGGUGAAUCAAAUGGACAGACUGAAAAAUCGAAUGCCGGAUCAGACAGCAAUUCAAAUGCUGUUCAGAGUGAAGAAUCAAACAAUAAUUCUGGAGGAGAGGGGACACACACAAAUGAAAAUUCAAAUGCUGACCAGAACAGUGGAACAUCGUCGAACACUAAUGAUAAUGCUGGUGCAGGUCAGAAUGAGAAUGAUAGUAGCAAUUCGAACAAUGACGGGAAUGCGAAUGGGAAUGGUGGCAGCACAGACAAUCAGAGCAACACCAAUGGCAAUGUAAAUGCAAAUGAAGAUGUUACUCAAAAGGAAAACAACGAUUCAAGUUCAAAUGAAAAUGCCGCACAGAGCAACACCAGCAACAAAGAAAAUGCGGGUCAGGACGAGAAGAAUGCCACUCAGAGUAACACUGACAACAAUGAAAAUGUGGGUCAGAAUGAGAACAAUGCUGCUCAGAGCAACACUGAGAACAAUGAAAAUGCGGGUCAGAAUGAGAGCAAUGCUGCUCAGAGCAACACCGAGAACAAUGAAAAUGCGAGUCAGAACGAGAGCAAUGCAACUCAGAGCAACACCGAGAACAAUGAGAAUGCGGAUCAGAACGAGCACAAUGCUGCUCCAAGUAACACUGAGAACAAUGAGAAUGCGGGUCAGAACGAGAACAAUGCCACUCCAAGUAACACCGACAACAAUGAGAAUGCAGGUCAGAACGAGAACAAUGUGACUCAGAGCAACACUGACAACAGCAACAGCAACAACAACAACAACAACGAAAAUGCAAGUCAAAACGAGAACAAUGCUGCUCAGAGCAGUAACAACAAUGAAAAUGCAAGUCAGGAUGAGAACAAUGCAUCUCAGAGCUUCACCGACACCACCAACAACAAUGAAAAUACAAGUCAGGAUGAGAACAAUGCAUCUCAAAGCUUCACCGACACCACCAACAACAAUGAAAAUGCAAGUCAGAACGAAAACAAUGCUUCUCAGAGCUACACCGACACCACCACCAACGAGAGCAACGAUGCCAUUCAGACCAAUACCAACAGCAACGAAAACUCAAGUCCAAAUGAGAACAAUGCCGUUCAGUCCUCCAAUAACGAAAAUGCAGGUCAGAACGAGAACGAGAACAAUGCUACUCACAGCUUCAACGACAGCAACGGGAGCAGCAAUUACGACACAAGUACAGAUGGAAACACCCAGAAUAAUCCCGACACUUCUUCAACGAAUCAAGAAGUAAAAGAAGGUGAAACCGGUUUGGGAACUUUGCCAGGUACCACAACAAGUGAGGGAAAUAAAAGUGAGAAUGCAGCUGCAGAAUGAAAUUUAUAAUGGUUUGUGAUUUCAGUAUAUGAACUAAUUACUGUCACUAAAUUUUUGUUUUUCUUCUUUCCUGAUAUGGGAUCGGGAAACUGUAUGUUCCUGGUUACUUGUGCCUUUGUUGUCAUAUUAGUGCUGAAAAUUUUUAUAUUAUUUUGUACUUGUAGAUUUCUAGUUAUAAUAAUUGAAGUUCCCCAGUUUUCAUAUCUUUAUGAGGAUAUAUAUAAUAGGAAAGAAAAUCCUUUUUAGGUUUCUCUUCAAAUGUGUCUCUUGGUGCUUAAAUCAUCCUACAAAAAUAGAACUGCUUGACAUUUGGGAUAAUUACAUCAAAUAUUCUCAACUAGUCCUCAAAUUAUUAAUAUUGUAUUAAUCAGGUCUUUCUACUAGUUUAGCUAUCAAUGCACUUCGAAUUUGACGAAUUAUGGAUUCGAAUAUCCACAUGGAUCUUUUUUUUUUUCGGAUUCGGAUAAUAUUUGGAUUUUAUGAUUAUUAUCUAAUAGGAAUUUGAACUGGAUGUGGAUAGAUGUCUCGGAUAUUCGAUUAUCCAAAUCCGAUUACUUGUUUGGGUAAUGGAUGUAAAUUUAAAUUCAAACACCCAAACCUAGUGGUACAAAAUACUUAUAGUUUUGAUUUUAUAUAUCUAAAAAGAAUUUUACUGUAUUUGAAUUCGGAUUUUUGCAGAUUUGAAAAUUCGAAAAAUGGUUAGAAAUUUUGAAUUUCUUUUUCAAAUUUGAAAAAUGACAAUUUCAAUAAAUUUUAGGACAGUUAUUAUUGUUUUUAAAAAAAGUCAAAUAUAAGUUGUUUAUGCAAUAGGUACACUCUAGACAUAUAGUUUAAGUAGUAUUAAAUGUUCAAGCUAGACAAAAUGACCUAAUCGAUACAAUACAAAUACCUUUAAAAGGAUCCAAUUAAAACCUUUUAAAUUUUGAGGACCAAUGAUGGUAUUAGCCCUUUUUUUCUUUCAAAAUUCCAUGAAUUUAUUGCUUAAAUUGCAAGGACCAAUGGGGUUGGUGAAGCCUGAUGGUGCCUCAAUACCUUAUUAAUGGACAUCCCAACUCCUCCCAUGGUACUUGCUAUUUAUUUUGUUAGGUAAUUCAUAAUUAGUUGCUUUUGUUUUGCUUCAACAUGCAUAUUAUCAUUAAGAAAGACCUGUGGGGAUCUAUUUUUAUGAAAUGAAUUAGAUAAAGUACUAAUUGGUACAAUCAAUUAUAGCUGCAAUGUUUUCAUAUGGAAUUUUCUUUUCUUCCAAAGGACCUAAUCAUGAACAAUCAUUUUCAUUUUAAAAAAUACAACAUGGUGCACUCAUAUGGUAAAAAAAAAAAUUUUUUUGGAUAAUAUAAUUUUUGGCCCCUGAAUUUAGCAAUUAGGUCCACUUUGGUACUUGAACUUGGCAACUAGAUCCAUUUUGGUCUUUGAACUUAGAUCCUAUCAAGAUUUAAUGAUGUGACCAGUAUUACUGAAACAUGAUUAGAUUAGACUUGGAAUUGAUCGAUAUAAUGGUCCGAACAAAGGGUUAAAUCGAUCGACUCGAAAACAGCUUGAAACUGGUAAAAAUUGAAAACCGAAACAAAAAUCAAUAGUUGAAUAAGUUGAAUUGGAUUAAUAUUUUUUUAUGAUUUUUUAAUUAUUAUUUGUUUGGCAGUCGAAUUGGUUGAAUUGGGAAUCAAUGGUCUAGCCUGUUCAACCCGGACCAAUUAUUAAAAUAUUGAAUGUGACACUUUGAGAUUGUAUCACAUCACCACAUAAAAAUUUAUAUUAAUUUUUAAAUUUUCAAGUGAUGAUAUUGUGCUUAGUUGUAAAGUUCAAGUCUCAAAGUGGACAAAAAAUAUAGGUACCAAAAUAAAUAUUGUUGCCAAGUUCAGGGGUCAAAAUUAUAUUAUCCAUAUUUCUUUCAUUUGGUAGGUAAAAGGAUGCGUUGUCAUCUCAUCAAGAGCAUCUUUCGAAAAGAGAGAAAUAUUUUUAAGGUUAAUAUAUUAUUUGGUACCUAUAUUUAGCUUGAAUGUUUAAUUUUGUACUUGAGCUUUUAUGUCCCAAUUUGAUAUUUGAGUUUAACUUAAAUGUUCAAUUUAGAACCUAGGUCAUUUCAAAUUGAUACUUGAGUUUUUCUUUGUCCUAUUUAAGUACUUAAAUUUAACUUCAAUGUUCAAUUUUAUACUUGGGCAAAAGUACCAUUGAGACCCCUAUACUAAGAGUCGGAUAUCAUUUUGCCCCCUCUACUAAAAAAGAUGACAAAUUCAUCUUUGUACAUUAGAUUAAGAAGCAAAUUGGUCCUUUUGAUAAAAAUUCCAUCCAUUUCUACUAUUAAGUUAUAAUUGAUUAUUGUCUACUUGCUUGAAUUAGUCCCUCCACAUAAAAAGUUUCACCCAUUUCACAGUUUAUCAACCAUUCAUUUCUUCUAUUAAAAAUUUCAUCCGAUUUGCUUGAAUUUAUACCUCGAUGACAACAUGAGGUACACGUGGCACGCUAAGUGUCAUUAUUUGGUUGCUCCAUCAAGCAUGUUAGCACUUAACGGUAAAAGGGGAUAUUUUUUUUAAACAGAAAAUCAAUUUACUAUUUAAUCUAACGUAUAAGGAUUGAUUUGCCCAUUUUUCGAGUAUAUGAGUCAAAAUGCAAUUUGACUCAUAGUACAAAGGCCUCCAUGAUACUUUUACCUUUAUACUUAAGUUUUUCUUUUUCUCCCAAUUAAGUACCUAUGCUUUCUUUUCUUUUUUUUUGCUAGAGCACACAUGUCAAACAUUUAUUGGACCGUAUGGUGCUGUUCAGUUUGAGUGCCAAAUUGGAUAUUGAAGCCAAACUCAAAAACCAAAUUAGGACAAAAAAACUCGAAAGCCGAAUUAAACAUUGAAGCCAAAUAUAAAUACCAAAUGAUAUAUUAACCCAAACAUUUAUCUUAGGUCAAUUUUUAACACCAACAUCAAUUGAGUCAGAAUAAAAGAAGAUUAAUGUCUCUUAAAGUAAAAUCUAAAGUCUUUUAGUUUCUUUUUUUAAGUAAGUUUAUGAGUAUUUAAUUUUCUUUCUAUUGAACCCAUGUGAUGGCAUAAUAGUUAAGGGUGUUUACAACCCUAGGUGUAACGUAGGUUCGAAUCACACUAAUUACGUUCGUUAUUUAGGCUUUGCCCUAUUAUUGUAAUUUACAAAAAAAAAACUAUUUUUAUCUAAUUUUCAUAAAAUUAAUCCACAUGUUACGAUUUUAUUUGAGUAUCAAAUUGAAUAAUAAAACUAAACUUAAAUAUUAAAUUAAACAUUGAAACCAAAUUAAAUACAAAAUCACAUGUCAGCCUAGACUUCGUCUCAACAUAAACAAGACAAACUUCAUGGAUUUGGUGCACAUGGUAUUGAUCCAUAUUGAACAUUACCAGUCUUUUGGUCCCAACAAAAGCAUUUUGAUAUUCUAAAUUAAAUUUAAUACCUUAAACCAACUUUAAAUGAUUAUAUUUUUAUGUUCAUCGGUUUUAUAUUUUCAUAAUUACAUUUAAAUUUAAAUUAAGUUAGAAUAUAGAAUUAAUAAUUUCGCAUUUUCAUAUAGAUAUAUUGUAUAAUAUAUAUUUCGUUAAAAAUUUAAAAGCAAAAAAUAUAUGUAUAAUUAUUUUUAAAAAUACCCACUGAAAACUGAUAUCGGUAGGCAUCAAUACUAUAACAAAAACUAUAUAUGCCCAUACUAAUAUUUUGGCUGAAAAAGAAUAUAUCCUUCUUUGAGUAGUUCAUGCAAGCAUUCAAUAGAACCAUAUCCACAACAAACCAUUCAGUAAUCUUAUUAUUUCGAAACAGAGUAUGGUAGGCAGGCACAACCAUAUAGAAAACCUGAUGAACUUGCAAUUCAAAGUCCAGAAACCGGAAAUCGAGUGCUAAAAUUACAAAAGAUCCACAGAAUUAUCUGAUUGAUUUCUCAGAGAAAUGAUAAAAAUGCGCCGAACUCGGAAAGAUAUGCAUCUGUCUGGCCAUCCCUAGUGAUGCUCCUUUGUCUCAAACAGACCAUCCGGACCUGAAUAACAUGAUAAAUAAAACAAUGAAAAGAUUGAAUCGACCGAUUAGAUAAAUGAGUAACAAUAACCUUAAUAUAUGACCAUCCUUGAUUAAGCAUACAUCCACUUCCAAUAUUGGAAAAUUAGAAACUCCAAAUGAUAAUAUUAAAUUUUAUACCUAGAUUCCUUGAUCACUCAUGAACCUAUUUCUUUUAAAUAGGCUCAUCAUCAAUCACAACAAAAAAUGCUUGCUAGGUCAAGGGUGGCCAAGCCUACAACAGCGAGUAAAUAGCAAUGGCCUUGGUAUCAAACUUUACGAAUAAGAAAAUGGUGGUUUUUUUUAGUUCAUAUGCGAUUGUCAAACUCUCCUACCAGUAAUAACAGUUAUCUAGAAAAACAAAAAUAAAAAAGAAGGGCAUUCUUAGAUUAGUUUUUCAUUAAAAUCGCAAAACGAGACACAACCAAAACAUCAUGUUUAUAAGAUUCCUGGGUUAGAUAACAUAAUACAAUUAGAGACAAGCUAAACCCAAUAAUGUAACUGUAAAAAUGAUCAAAUGAAAAUGAGUUUAGACCAGGUCUUAGCAAUUUAUCUAGGAAUUAGGCAUGUGGAAACAUAAGCAAUGAAUGUAAGAUAGGCUGAAAGGAAACUUUUCACCUAGAAUUUAGUUUAGGACAAAAACUAGUGUUAUAGUUAGUAAUCUAACAUAACAUAGGAAGUAAAUACUGCGUUACUUGGCCUUGGGUGUGAAUGUCAGAUAUAGGUAUGUAUCCGACCUUUUCUAAGUUUUUCCAUAUAUUUGGAUGAUCAUUGAAGGUCAAAUCCCCAUAUCCAUGUGUCGGACACAGUUACUUCAGGAAAAAUGAAGAGUCUAAGUAACAUAGAGUAAAUAUCCAACAUGUAACAACAUUCAAAAUAUGACUGCAAAGAUUAGGUGAAAGAGAGGAAAAAGAUGGCCAUUUUUUUCCAUGGGUAGAAGAUGGAAAACUAAUGAUUACUAGUAACCAAAUUAAGUUAAAACAAGACAGACCAUAAUUGGUUGCCGAUAGCAUGUUGGAUGUUUCCAUAUUAAUUGAUGAGCAAAACAUCACUAUGAGUUGGCAACUUUUAAGUCUCCAUAUAAAUUACCUAAGCUAGUGUUUUGGAUGGUUGAAAAAGAAAUUGUUUUGAACAAAAUGAAUAGGAUUUAUUAGCUACUAACCAAAGCCAAUAAAAGUAAAUUUGGUUCUAGUUCUGCCUUAGAAUAUCUAAAAUUGUCUAGAAUUCUUUACAUUUCUCGACCUUUAAGCAAAUGGUGCAAAAUGAAAAGAAAAUCCAGCAAUGUUAUUAGUUAUAAUUUUCAUGGAAAGAUCCCAAAAGAGCCUAAACAGCAAAAUCUAAAUACCAAAAAGAAAAGAAACUCGAACUUAAAUAACUCAAAAAUCGGUAACAAUAAGAUUAACAUACCCCAUGGGAACUCCUUAUUGCGAAUGUGCAAAUAUGGGUAUGCCUGCAAACAUUCAAACAUCAUGACAGCACCCAAUGAUAAAAAUUAAUAACAAAAAUUUUUUUUCUUAAAAUAUAUAACUAAAAUUAAGCAUAAUAAAAGUAAGCUUACAGGAGGCUCUUCAUGGUGGGGAUGACCUUUUGAUAGAUUAUAAAUCGCUAAAACAGUGCAAGUAGCAACACCUAAAUAUGUUAUCUUUUCCCAUUUUGCCGUUUCAUCUGCAAAUAUAUAUAUAUAUAUAUAUAUAUAUAAUUCGUGUUAAAACAAUAUAUAUAUAUGAUUUUUCCAAGCCGUUUUAAGAUUUUCUUUUCCCUAAGAUCCAAAACUACGAUUCUUUUAAUAAUCUAAAUUUUAUUUUACUUACUCUAUUUCUAACAUAGACUCAAUUAAAAUCAAAAGGUUAAACUAGAUAAUAAAACCCUAAAGUAAAAAAAAUAGAACAACUCAAAAUAUAGGAAAUCAAUAUAUUAAUAAUAUAAAAUUGAUCCAAAUCAGAUAAAAUAUUAAAAAAAUAGAAGAAAGGUUGCAUACAAGCAUCAUCGUGAUGAGAAGAGGAAGCGAAGCCACGCUUGGGAGGAGCAGUAGGACGAGAGCCGCCGCGAAGGGCUGCUCGGAGGAGACCAGAUCGCACACUCGCCAUCGCCAUUUUUAUCGAUUUCUUUUUUCUCUACGACUUGAAACCCUUGUUUUCUUAUACGCGAUAUAUUUUAGUCAACAAUUAGAUUAGACCAAACGAGAAGGGUUUCGCACGUGCAAAGUGCGUGGCUUUUGCCCCUUUAUUUCUUGUUUUCUAAAAAAAAUUCUGAUAAUAUUGCAAAACAAAGGUGAUAUAUUUCAUAAAUAUAAAAAUAUAAUAUAAUGGUAAAAAUAUUGUGGAGACUUCUGUAUUAGGAGUCGGAUUUAAUUUUGUCUCUCUACUCAGCAAUUUGAUAAAUUAGUCUAUUUACGUUAGAUCAAAGAACAAAUCGGUCCUUUUGAUAAAAAAUUCAUUCAUUUCUAUAGUUAAAAAUUAGUCUCUGUACACUAGAGUUAUCCAUGGGCUGAAUCGGUCCACCCAAAAAAUCUAUUUCACUGUUUAAAAAUAAAUAAAAUAUUAAAAGCAUAUUUUUAUUUGAUAUUCUAUAUAUUUUAUAAUUAAAUUUAAAUUUAAAAAAAUUCAUUAUUUAAAUUGAAUUCGAGUCAGGUCGAAAAGCAAAAAUCCUUAUCCAAGCCUAGCCCAAGUUGGGUUGGGCCUAUAGGAGCGGGUAGCCUACCCGACCCUUGGACAGGACUACUAUACACUAGCAUAAGAUACACGUGACAAACCACAUGUAACUGUCUAAUUAUUCUAUCAGCUAUGCCAAUUUUUAACAGAAAAAAUGGAUGAAAAUUUUAAUAGAAAUGAUUAGUUUACUCUCUAAUCUAAUGCAUAUGGACUAGUUUACUAAUGUUUUAAGUAAAAAGAACAAAAUAUAAUCUGACUCCAAGUACAUAGGCUUCCAUAAUACUUUUACCAAAUAUAAUAUGCUUAAAUAUCUAUACUAUAUCUAAUUUGCCUAACUAAAUUGAUGUCAGGAAUCGAUUGACACCAUCUUAAUUAGAUAAAUUAUUUAAUUUAUUUUUAAUAAAAUAAUAAAUAUUAAUAUAAUGAUAUUUUUCUAAAUAUUGAACUUAGGUUAUGAUUUUUUUUUUCAUAAUUACCUUACCGCUUUGUUUACUAUUCAAUUAUUGAAGAAUCUUUUAUAAAUAUAUUUUUAAUAUUAACUUGUUAUAAAAUCAAGUGAUAAUAAUUAAAAUGUAUCAUAAUUUUAUUUCCAAUACACUUAAUAAUGAGAAACACAAAACACUAUAUGCAAAAAUGCAAAUAAAUAUCAUAAAAAAUAUAAUUAUUUAUCUUUUUUCUAAUUCUCAAUUGCGAUUUUUAAAAAAUAUAUAUGAUAGCAAGAUAAAUUUGUAUUUUAAUAUAUUUAUAUUUAGCUAAUUAUUAAAUAAAAUGCUAUUAAAUUUAGAUUUUUCUUAUCAAGAAUGAAGUUGAUAUGCUAAAUUUAAACUCUUAAAAAGGAAAGAGCUAAAUUGGAACAAAAAGCAAGGCUUGAUUGAAAGAUUGAAGAUUCAAAUAUAAUUGGAUAAGGGUUGAAGAUUUUUUUUAAGUGGCCGGAUGAAGAUUAAAAGAUUUUUUAUAUUGUUACAACUCUAUAAUUAGUUUAAAUUUGAUUUUUAAUUUUUGAAUUAUUUAGUGAUAAUUUUUAGAAUUAUUUAGUGAUAAUAUUUACAAAAAUUCUAGCUAAAUUUUAGCAUUAAAAGUGUGUAUAAAUACCUAGUGACUACAACCAAUUGACGUUUAAUAAAUUCUCUAUUUUUUUUUCCUCUCCUGCGUCUUUGCCAUUCAAUUUUGCAGUUUCAAUUGUUUUUUUUGUUUUGAUUUCAACCUUUUGGUUUAAUUUUCUUCUAAGGCCUUUCCCUUUUCUACUUUUCAAAAUUCCACUUAAACCAUUUAUUUUCAAGCAUGAUUUUUUCCAUGAUUAACUAAACCCUUUUUAGCUUUAGCCUGAAAAUUGCUCCAACAAAAUAAUCGUGAGAUACGAACCCACUCAAAAAAAUCUCUCAAUUCGGUAUUCGUUAUCUCUCCGGUAUAUGGGAUAGUAAAAAUUCAUCCCUCAAAAUUGAUUCAAUUUCAGCUCAAAAAACGUGCAUUAGGCUGCAAUCAUUUGACAUAGAAUUGGGAAGUUGAGUCGGCGGUGAUGUAUUCAAAAUCCCGCGAACAAAUUGGCGUGUUCAAUUGAAAAAAGCUAGUUGGAUUCUGUUAAGGGAGAUAGUGAUCGGAUUUAAACGACCCACAUGGUUGGGGCCGUUAAUUUGAGUUGGGCUUUUCAGAUCGUAAGGCUGUCGAAGUCUUAAAUUACGGGUACGUGCCACGUGGUUGGAAAUUCAACAAGGGUCGAUUUGCAGGUGAUACCGAGAUCGAAUACGAAAGAAAAAGUUGGCAGUUUGAGAGAUCCUUGAUUGUUAUAACAAGCUAAUCGCUUGGAAGGGAAAUUUUGUUUCAAGGAUCGAUUCAAGAUUGGAGUAUACUGAAGCUAAGACUAAGAUUAAAAAAUAUUUUAUUUAUCUAUUUAUUUUAUUUUCUUAAUUUUAUUUUUGCAUUUUCGAAUAUAUUUUAUUUUAUUUUUUGUAUUUCCUUAUUUUAUUAUCUUAAUUAAUAUAAAACCCCCAUUUUUAUUUUCUAGCGUUGCAACACACUAGUCGUGGACAUGACUAUUACUACAACAAUAAUUCUGGUUACAAAAAAGGCGAAAUUAGACAACCAGUCCCUAUAGAUUCGACCCUACUACUCUACAUUUCAAUUUAUUAUUAUUUUGUCGUAGAAAUUUAUAUUUGGUGAUUUUGACACCCAUCAAAUUUUGGCGCCAUUGCUAAAGAUUGGUGAAAAUUUCUAAUUUUUGUUUGUUUUAUUUAUAACCAGUUCAAAAUCGGGGACUCUAGCACUUGAGCUAGAGAUAGAAAAGUUGGCUCGAACACUUUGAAGAGAAGCUAUUCGGUGCGGUAAACAACCACAACCUGACUUUGAAGAAAGAUCUUACACCGGAGAUAUUUACUCAUCUGAAGAUUCAGACGAAAUAGCAAAUUAAACUAUACACCAACUUGUAGCUGUACCAGAUGAAUAACAACCGCUAUGCAUAACUUAUCCGGCAGGCGAAACAUUGUUCGAGUUAAAGUCGGGAUUAAUACAUUUAUUGCCUACUUUCUGCGGUUUGAAAAACGAGAACCUCCAUACUCAUUUGAAAGAGUUCCACAUGGUUAGUCUGAGCAUGAAACUAGAAAAGGUAACUAAAGAUCAAAUAAAACUACGAGCUUUUCCUUUUUCAUUAGCCCACUCCACUAGAGAGUGGCCUUUUUAUUUACCUUCAGGAUCUGUUAAUACUUGGACUGGUAUUUCUUGAUUAUUUCUUGACAGGUUUUUCCCAGUAGCUGGAGCAGCUGAAUUAAGGAGGAGUAUAGUCGGAAUACAACAAAAAGAAGCAAAGUCACUUAAUGAAUAUUGGGAGCAAUACAAUAAGUUGUGCGCAAGUUACCCACAACAUGGCUUGUCUAAACAGUCGCUCUUACAGUAUUUUUAUGAGGGGUUACUCUCAAUGAGAAUGAAGAUGAUUGAUGUCGCUAGUGGAGGGACUCUUGUGAACAUGACUCCCCAAAGAGUUAGGGAAUUAAUUUCGACCAUGGCUGCAAAUUCUCAAUAGUAUCGACCACUUAUGGAACCUACAAGAAGGGUUCAUGAGCUAAGUACUCCUUCAAUAGUAAAUAAGAUUGAUGAACUUACUAAUGUGAUUAGAAGUAUGCUUGUAGGAAAAUCGAACCCAACUCGGUUAUGCGGGAUUUGCGCUCAGCCUGAUCAUCUAACUAACUCGUGCCCAAUUUUACUUGAAGACACAACUACACAAGUAAAUGUCGUUGGGAACUUCCUAGGGCCACCUCAAAGGCGUUCUGAUCCAUAUUUAAGCAUGUACAAUGCAGGGUGGAGGAAUCAUCCAAACCUGAGCUAUAGGUCGAACCCUCAAUACAAUCAACAAUAUCAAUCAAGAAUACCCCCGUCUCAACAAUAUCAACCUCCAAAGUCAUCUCUUGAAGUUAUAGUAGAGAGGUGAGUCGUUGGCACUGAAAAGUUCCAACAAAAGGCUGAAGCACAUUUCUAAGAACUAGAUCAACAAAUAAGUAAGUUAGUACUUACGGUUAGUCAUUUGGAGAACCAAGGAAAAUUGCUAUCUCAAACCGAGCCAAACCCAUGUCAAAAUGCAAGUGUUGUGACCGUAAAAGAUGGGAAAGAGUCAAAACUAGUGCCUAGCACAAGUCGUGACCAUAAUGUUGAACAGGAAGUCAAACCAACAACUCUCACUGAGUCGGCACUUCUUAAACCAUUUGUUGUACCUCACCCAUACCCUGGAAAGCCGCCCAAGUUAAAAAGGAAUGAGAGAAAAAAGAAAUCCUUGAGACAUUCCGAAAGGUAGAAAUUAAUAUUCCUUUACUUGAUGCAAUUAAACAGAUUCCACGUUAUGCAAAAUUUUUGAAAGAACUGUGUACCGAAAAAAAGAAGUUGCAAGGAAAUGAAUGGAUGAAUAUGGGAGAAAAUGUUUCUGCGGUGUUACAAAGGAAAAUCCCACCUAAGUGUAAGGACCAAUGUAUGUUUUCUAUAUCCUGCAAAAUAGGUAAUAUUAGCAUAAUGAAAGCCAUGUGUGAUUUGGGAGCAUCUAUUAAUGUAAUGCAUUUAUCUAUUUUUAAAUUACUAAACACGGGUCAUUUGAAAGAAAUUGGGGUGAUUAUUCAAUUGGCAGAUAGGUCAUGCAUAUAUCUAGAAGGGGUGCUAAAAGAUGUCCUCGUAAAGGUAAAUGAACUAAUUUUUUCCUGCAAACUUUUAUAUCAUCGAUAUGGAGGACGACCACUCAAAAAAUGCUUCUGAUAUUUUACUUGGGAGACCAUUCCUAAGUACCGUGUGUACAAAUAUUGAUUUCGAAGUGGAACCCUCACUAUGGAAUUCGAUGGUGAGGUGGUAAAAUUUAAUGUUUAUGAGGCGAUGGCCAACCCAAUACAAUGUCGAACAUUUCUAGUGUUGAUAUUAUUGAACCACUAACGAAAUUUUAUUUUGAGUAUCAUGAAGGGGAUGGGUUGCAAAUUGUACUUUGCAAGAGUUUAGACCUUGAUACGAUGGAUAAAUUAGAGGAGUUAAUGACGUUCAAAGAACUGAUUCGUGAAACCGUUAUUCUAUUGGAGACUCCACAAUUUCCUAGAAGUCAAGGUAAAUAUUUUAAACUUUCUCCUUCUAAAACUAAAUUCUUGCAUUCUGUUUUGCAGGCUUUGGAAUUGGAACUCAAACCGUUACUUGAACAUUUAAAGAUUCUGAUAAAGGAAAAGGCAAACCCAAACAGAGAAGCUCAAAUACGCCUUAAUCCACCAAUAAUGGAGGAAUUCCAAGUGCACAUAAUGAAAUAAUUAAUUCUUAAGAAACCAAACGAAUAACUCUCAGGUCGUCGAGCUAACGCCGUUAAACAAAAGGGCAUUAUGGGAGGCAACCCACAUUUAUUUUUAUUUAAUUUAAUUUAAUUUAAUUUUGAAUUUUAGUUUAGUUUGAGAAUUAAAUAAAAUAUUAUUUUAAUCUGUUUGAUCGUGUUGUUUUCCAGGAGCAACCACCUUCAGCUGUAGACGAACGACUUCAUCGCAUUGAAGCUUGCUUCAAAAUAAUAAAAGCCAACAUCUCAAGCAUCCUCACCGUUCUACAAAGUGAUCACUUCCAUCGCUCUCCGGCCCAUUAAAUAUAAACGGGGAGUACACUUUCUCCAUUCAUAUUAUUCUUUUUACACAUUGGGGGCAAUAUGGGCUAAGUAGGGGGAAUUUUGAAUCAUGAUAAACUUUUUUUUUUGCAUGUGUUUUGUUAAGAAUAAAUUUUUUUAAUUCAUUUCAAAAAUAAAUAUCUAAUUCUUAUGUUCAGUUUACUUAAAUAAGUGGGUGAACCAUGAAUACUAUUGCUUGCUUGAUCAAUGAAUAUUUUGUAGAAUUGAAAAUGUUAUGCCUUAGUCGAUAUUUCAUGAAAAAUUAUUAGUUUUGUUGAACUUGCGUAAUGAAAGCACUAGAUUAAAUAAAUAAAUAAAUAAAUAGCUUGGUUAAGAGUGAAGAUUCA
rnacentral:lncRNA from 1 species